AGAACAGGAAACACCUCCACCAACAUUAUGCCACGUCUUUCUUCCUUGGAAAUUAGUGUGGGGUUAUGGGAUCGCACAACGACGUUGAAGGUAUUGCAGAUUGUGGCAUGUGGUACUCUAAGAAGACGUUACAGACAGGGGAGAGCAGAAGACUGGCCUAAGAUCUCUCACAUUCCAGACAUCAUGAUUGUGUGAAAAGAUGCCCGUGACAAAAUUCUCUAGGCGGCUACAUGGAGUACAAUCAUAAAAUGCUAAUGUGGCCACCCUGGUUCUUAAUUAAGGUUGUGAAAUAUUAUUGUAAAAGAUGAUUAAUUCAAUUUGAGUUAUUCGUUUGCUUUGAUAAUGAUAGUAAUUUUAUAUUUUGACAAUUUGCAGGGUGAGAAUGGUGCUGAUUGGUGAUACAGGAUAUGGUUCAAACACCAUUGAAUAAAGCUACGGACAUGGUGGCUCAACUUAGCUAGAUUGCUGUCAAAAUUGGUAAGUUGGCUUGUCAAUGUAUUGAUGCUUUUGUUUUCUCUCAACCCUAAUUACCUUAACUUCAUUUAGUUUGGCUUUGGAGUUGAGUAAAUUCUGGCCUCUUCCGAAAAAAAAAGCUUAAUUUGCUACUGAUCACGUGUUACCAAUUAUUUAAGGUAAUUCUCGCUUACUUGCUUCUGCACUAUAGAGUACGUGUUCUGGCUGGUUUAUCUAAUUCAUCAAAUGUUAUUUCCUUAUUGUUCCAUUGAUAUAUUUGUUAGAAAGUGAAACCAUUUCCAGGCAGCAGUUGGCAGUGAAUUCAUGCAAAUGUUGGUGCCAUUCAUAGAUAUUGAAGACAAUGAUGAGCCAAAGGUGAUAAAUCAUUAAUGCAUAGUUACCAAAACCUCCAUCCUUCUCUCAUUGUAAUUUGAUUUUAAAUGAAUAAUUGCUAGGUAAUUGAAGCCAAUAUUGUUAGAAACGGUGUUGAGCUACCCAAGCUAAGAAGUUAGCUGCCAAAAAAUGCAGGGGAUUAAAAGAAGCAUUGCAUUUGAAAAGGAAUGAGAUUCUGGUUGCUACAUGUCAAUUCGUAGAAGUUUCAAUAAAUUUAAUGGUUCAAGAUUGUUAGUUUCUGUUUAAAUUUGUGCUACUGCAGUGCUACAACGCUGCUACUGGGAAAUUUGAAUCCCAUAUUAGACUUUCCUCACAUCAGAAGCUGUGGAUCUUGAGACAUCAGGUUUUUUCACAGUUCUGAAACUCUCAGGAUUAAACUCUAUUAAAGUUGUUGUAGUUGUCUACGUUCUCAGGUCAAGGAUUCUAAGCUGCCGAUUAAGCAUUGCGCAUUUUCAUUUGUCCGAUUCAAGAGGAACGUCACAGAAAGGGGUAAAGAAAAGAGUAGCCUAAGAUAUUAAAGACAAUGUUGAGCCAAAGGAAACAUAAAUCCCAACCAUUGCAUGUGAACAUGAUCACAAUAAGGUCAAGAACCUACCAAACCAUUUUUUUGAGAAUUUUCAAUUGAAAGUGAAACCUUUUGAUAUUUACCUAAUAAAGUUAGUUAAACGAGAGAAAUAAAGGGGGAAAGAAAAGUUGACUCUAAGUCAAUACAGAAUAAUUAGUUCAAUACAGAAUAAUUGCUGUAAAAUAUUAAAUAGUUUUAUUUUUCUUUUAUCGUUUAACUUGGACCAAAAAAGGAAAUGAGUUUAACACGACCCUCAUUCUGCUUCUUGCUUUGGUUUCAAACAAGUCUUUCUCCUUUAUGACAUUUAUUGUAAUUUCAUUUGGAGACAUAUGUCUGUCGUUCAAAUAUAUUUCAUACGCAAGCUGUUAAUAAUUCUGCUUGCAGAAAGCCUACAAAGCAGCUGUGUGAUGUAAUAGAAGACCAUAGAUAGUCUCGUCAAUUUUUCAACAUUAGAUAUUCAGGUCAUCAGCUUCUCAUGAAUUCUUUCCUGAGUUUCUUUGAAUUAUUUGUGAUGUAAUAACUUGUGCAUUUGAGAAACUGUUCUCUUGAAUUCUUUCUUGAGUUUCUUUGAAUUAUUUGUGAAUAAGUUGUUAAUCGGCUGCUUCUCUUCAGGAUAAGGAAAGUGUUGCAAACUGGUGAAGCAGCUGAUAGAUAAAAGCAAUGGGUACAUCUUUGCUGGCAUGGAUCGAUGCCAGUGCGGCUGAAUUCAGCAAGACUGCCGUUCGUGAUGUUGUUGAUUGGGAUUACAUUAAGGAUGAUGACAACAUUGAUUAAAAUGGGACGUGAAGAUAUAUGGUGUGCAAAUUAACCCAACCCAACCAAACCCGUACAUUUUAUCAACCCAACCCAACCUGUAAAAAAUCACACGGGUUAGGUUAGUUUCACGGAUUGGGAGGUUGGUGCCCACCCCUAAAUAUAACCUCCAUUUCAGCACAAUGCAUGUUAAUUGUUCCCCAAGGACUUCUCCUGAUUCCCAUUCCCAACCUCCAUGCUCUUGAGAGGAAUUUAGCACCCAUCAAUUUUUAUUUUUGAAAACUCGUAAUGGUCUGAUAAAAUUAAACAACAUCAAUAAUGUUACCAGUCUUUAAAUAGUAAUUAAUUUAUUUAAUUUGCCACCUAAAAGAAUCCUGCUGGAAAUAGAGGUUAAAAAUUUUAUUAGAUCUGCUUACCUUUGUUCAUUCAGCAAAAACACUUACAAUUCACAGCUAGAGAAUCUAUCCAUUGACAAUUGUGGAUUAAAAUUAUAACACCUGAAUUCCAACAUAUCCUUAUGAAGUUAUGAAUUUGUUCAUACUUCAAAUGAUUUUUUUUUCCCAAGCUAAUAAAGCUACCACUUUGAUCAAACGACGACGUUGAAGGAAUUGCGUAUUUUCAAUGUCCUUUUCCAGACAGACGUUCGAGAGAGAGAAAGGAGAAGACUGGCCUAAUUAAGAUAUCUCACAAAGAUUAUUAUUGAGUUAAAAUGUUAUUGUAAAAGAUGUAUAAUACAAUAAUAGUAAUUCUUUUGCAUUGUUAUAAUGAGGCUGGUGGGUUUCCUCAGAGGAUGGAUCUUGCUCGCUAGUAUGCAUUUGGGAAGCUGCUAAUUAUUGGCCAUAAAAAGUCAGGGGGUUGUGGCUCUUCCGUCGCCCAGAAAUUCCUCAACUCAUAUCUCAAACUUCAGAUGAACUUGGGCAUUAUGUAAAUAUGUAUUUUGAGAAUUAAACUAGUGCCUUAGAAAAAAUUUGAGCCAUUGUAAUCAUUUUAUUUUGCUAAGGGAAAAUUUUACUUUGUGUUUCGCUUUGACUUUUUUUUUUUUGCCUUGUGAUAAUAAGAUUCAUACGAAAGUGAUUACACGCCUAUCAUGCAUCUAUUUUCAUUUGCUUGUCAUGAGAGAUCAACAUGCUCGAAAUAAUUACUUAGGUUGGAAAUAUUUGAAUCCACUAAAAUACUAUACAAACCCAUUUUAAAAUUAAAAAAAUGAUUAUCAUAAUACUUGUGAAGAUAACACGAUAUCAUACAUAAAAUAAAAUAUUUCGCAAAAAAGAUACGAUACAAAUCUUGAGUAAACAGGUACAAAAAAUAUUUUUUUUUGGUUAAACCACGAGGUACAAAAAAUAUUUUAGUGGGUUAAGUAGCACUAAUGCCCCCUUAUCAAAAAAUAUAGAAAAAUAACUAGUUUGAUUGGGUAUACCGUUUAUAUAUAUGUACAUAUUCUUGAUAAUGUGUAAUGUAUAUUAUAGACAAAGAUUUUGAAAGCAAUAUUUUUUGGUAUUAUUAUAUAAUAUUUUUUAAAAAGUUGAGAGAAUAGGCAAAGUCCAAAUCAACUUUCUAAUCCCUACCUCCUUUAUGAUUUAAACUUUAGCGUUUAGUGUCGCGAGCCACUCAAAUUUUCUAAUCAAAGAGACUAAAUUGCACGAAAUUGUGCUAGCUUAUUUGAUUCUAGAAAUUUCCAGUACACUGUAACACACUCUCAGGCUUGUACAUACCUCGAAAUUCUCUAGAAUUAAUUUACUAGAGUAGUGUUGCAUGUAGCUUGUACAUAGGUUUUUCUGGAACACUUCAGGUAUUACUAAGCAUGAGAGCUUUGAGAACUCUCUAGCCAUAAAACAUUCUAGGGUAUGUCUACCCUAAAAAUUGGGCAUGAUGCUUGCCACUUGAGCAUACAACAAGUAAGAACAAAUCAAGCAUACUUGUAAGCUCUCAAACUCUCUUAUACACACUUUUAUGAAUAAUAUACUUUCUCUUUGGCUAUAUUGCUCUCUCUUCUCUCUAGUUUUUUCGCAAGCAUCAUACCUUAGUUAGUCGAAAAGUUCAAGGCUUACUUUAUAGCUAUCUCACAAAAGUUGUUUAAGUACCACAUGGAUUUGCUGUGUAAAAUACUCAUCACAUGACAUUAGCUAAAUAGAUUUGUUUGAAAGCCACUUACCCAAACUAUUAAACGAAUAUUAACUUUUGUCUUAAUUUUCUAUCACCUAUGAUAAAAUUUAUAAUUAAAAAUUGAAAAAAUUAAUAACUAUUAGAUAGAGCAUUCUUUACUGUUAAAAGAAAUCUAUAUAGAUAGAUAGAUGGUAAUAUAAAAACUUACUUAUUGUAGUAUAAUGUUUUUAGUUUUUUGAAACAUAGAUUCUUACUUUUUUAAGAUAAAAUUCAAAGAAAACAAGUUAAAUGUUGUGGAAAAUCUUCCAGCCAUACAAGAAAUUGUGAUAGCUAAAUGCAAACCUAACUAAAGUAUUAGUUGUUUUAUUACAAUCUCCAAAAAGAUGAGCAAUUCCAAAAUAUUUUUUUGUAACAAUAAACACUAUAGGUCAGCAAUUAUCCAAGUCAAAAGCAAGCUACUCUAUUAAAAAAAAAAAAAACUUGUAGUGAAUCUGAAGAUAAACCAAUUUUACUAGCAAGUUGGAUACCAAAGAGUAGGGCUUCAGCCUCAAUUACUCAAUGUACCAACAACACAGUCUCGGUGAGUUAAAAUCAACUUCUACCACUCUUUUACUUGCUGAUAGAUCGAUUAAGGUACCAAAAGGAAUAAUCGAAGAUGUAUUAGUUCGAGUUGAUAAAUUCAUAUAUCCUGUGGAUUUUAUUGUUUUGGAAACUGAACCAAUUGCUAAUGAAUGCAAACAAAUUCCUGUUACAUUGGGUCGUCCAUUUUUAGCUACUGCUAAUGCAUUGAUUAAUUGCUGGAAUGGAGUAAUGAGUUUAUCUUUCGGCAACAUGACAUUGGAACUCAAUGUGUUCAACAUAUGUAAACAACCUCACCACCAGGAAGAUGAUGAUAAUGAGAAUGAGGAGAUUGAUUUCAUCGAGCCAAUCAUUGAUGAACACAUUCAGAAUAAGAAUUUUACAAACUCAGUGGAAAUUUAUUCUGCUCGUUCUUUUGAAUCGAGUAAGAAAUUAGAUUACGAUACUGAUAACAUAUACCCUACACUUGAUUCUAUGCAGGUACUUGCUGACGGUGACCAAUCAAACUUUAAAAAUACAGAACAAUCUAAAGAACCAAACGAAGAGGAAGUACCAGAGCUCGAAUUAAAGCCCUUACCGGAAGAAUUGAAGUAUGCCUAUCUUGGAGAAUAACAAACUUAUCCGGUGGUAAUUUCUUCCCAACUCACGCAUGAUCAAGAAGGUAAGUUGUUGUCUGUACUAAAAAGGCAUAAAACUGCAUUUGGUUGGACCUUAAAAGACAUAAAAAGUAUUAAUCCUUUAAUCUGCACACACCGAAUACACUUAAAGGAAAAUACCAGAACAACCCGUUAACAUCGACAUUAUCAGUGUAAACAUUAAAUACCAAAAUCAACCCCAAAAACUAUAACUAAACUAUCAUGACUAAAAUAAAGUUUUUUUUUUUUAGAUAUUCGUUGUAGUAUCUCUUUAGAUGACAAACAAGAGAUAAAAUACAUAAAUAUUUGCUGUGUAAAUAAAAAUAAAUAAUUUUUUUGAACUGAAAAAUAUUCUCAAAAACUAAAUAGUUCAAACUUUUUUUAACAUUAUCGGUUCUGGACCUGAACCGAACCGUGAACCGUAAACUGCCCACCCUUACGUAGUUGUUUCCGUUAACCGAUGUUGUAUUGCUGGUAUAAAAUUGUUCAAAUGUUCAAAUCACAGUCUCCCGCUCUCAGCUCAGUCAGAGUUUCAGGUCCAGAGACUUCCCGCUGACUGAGAGCUUUUUUGUAGCAGUUCUACAAAUAAUGGAGUAGAGCUGAUUUUAUGAUUAAUUUAUUUCCUUUUUCAAUUUCUUAUGAUUGCGAUUUAAUCUGGAAAGUUAAACGUGAAUUGUUUAGUGCGGAUUAAAUGUUCGACGAAUUUCCCGCAAGAGUAUUAAGUUAAAGAGAAAAAAGAAAACAAUUGAGCGUGAGCGUGAGCGUGAGCGAGAAUGGUGUUUGGGCAAGUGGUGAUUGGUCCGCCCGGCUCGGGAAAGACCACUUACUGCAAUGGCAUAACUCAGUUUCUCAGCCUUGUUGGCAGGUAACUUCGUUUCUUGAUUUCAAGCAGCUUUAUCUUUGAUGACCAAAAAAAUUGAUUUGGGCUUUGCCCAUUAAAUGAAUGUAAGAGCGGUAGGGAAUAACUGAGUUAUAGGAUUAGCUUUAAGUGAACAUUGAUGGUAACAUGCGCGUGAAGGUUGUAUGUGUUCAGUGGCAAGCUGUAUGCCAAUUUGGUCUAUAUGGUUGCUUAGGUAGUAACUUAUUAAUUUUUACGCAGGAAGGUUGCAGUCAUCAAUUUAGAUCCUGCUAAUGAUAGUUUGCCGCAUACUUUGUCAUUGAACUUUCUUACAAAUGCUGUGGUUUGUUGUAGUAUAAUUAGUUCAAUUGGAAACUUCCUUGAUGUUAAUAUAGAAAUGAGUGUGCUGUGAAUAUUGAGGACCUCAUUAGACUAAGUGAUGUGAUGAUGGAGUAUUCACUUGGUCCCAAUGGAGGUUAGUCAGCCUAUUGUUGUUUACUCUUUCUUGCUUUAUCACGCAAUGAUAUUCCUUUGCUUUACAACAAAUUUCGUGAAAUUAACUUCAAUCAAGUGGCAAUGUUCAUAUGCUGUUGAGAUUUUAUGGACAAUGAUUGGUAGACUUUAUAUGCCGUCUUCUUUCUUUUUGCAGUGAUAUGCUUGUAUUCAAUGAGCAUGUACUUAUUCUAUGGUUUCUAAAGUAGGUGUUUUUAUGAUAAACUAGGUCUUGUGUAUUGUAUGGACUAUCUAGAGAAGAAUAUUGACUGGCUGCAGUCGAAAUUAGAACCACUUUUGAAAGGUAAGAAGAGGCCAUUUUCCUUCAUUCUAAUGCCAAUAAUGCUGUCAUGAGACUCAUAAAAAUGUUAAAACGUUAAUGUUUUUGGUAUUUUGCAGAUCAUUAUCUUCUGUUUGAUUUUCCUGGCCAAGUUGAAUUAUUUUUUCUUCAUUCCAAUGCCAAGACUGUUAUAAUGAGACUCAUAAAGAAGUUAAAUCUCAGGGUAUUGUUACAUCUUACAUCUAUGAAGGGACUCAAAGAGUUGAGAUGAAUUCAUCUUUGUUAUUUUGAUGCCAGAAUUGUGCAAUUCUCAGUUGGUUCCUUGCACAUGCAGUUGACUGCAGUGCAUCUAGUUGAUGUGCAUCUUUGCAGUGACCCCGGGAAGUAUGUUAGUGCUUUGCUUCUCUCAUUGUCUACGAUGCUACAUCUGGAACUUCCCCAUGUCAAUGUCUUGUCUAAUCGAUCUGAUUGAGAAUCAUGGAAAGCUAGGUGUGGUUUUAAGUGUAUCUCUCCUACUUGUUUGUUUAGUUUGAAAUAUCAGAUAUUGUCACAAGCUCCUAUUUGCUACAUUUCCUCACCAAUCAAUUACUUUGGGUAUGUUGCAGCUUUUAAUCUCGAGUACUAUACAGAUGUGCAAGAUUUGUCAUAUUUACAGCAUGCUCUCGGUCAGGACCCUCAUUCUGCUAAGUACAGGUUUGAAUUCUAGCUGAAUCAAUGAUGCAAAUUAUGUUCAUUGCUAUUUCUGCUGUUGUUUCUAUCAUUUUCAAUUGUUACCUCCCCUUGCCAUCUACUGCCACACUGCAAUGCCUACACAAAUGUUAUGAAAUUUGUCAAUGGCAAUGCCAUCCUGUUUGUCCAGAGACAGCUCUUAGAUGCAAGUGAACAAUUUUUGGCUUUGGCCGUAGUACAGCCUUAGAUUUCAACUUGCCAUAUCUUGUCUCGGAAGUCAAAAGAAAGCGUAUAUGUUAGCCAAAUUUUAUUUGAAUUUAUUAAGUAACAAUGAAUGGGUCAGAAAAACAGUUCCUCUUUUGUUUUGAUCAGACUCAAUGAAUAAGUGUUUAAAAUGUGCCUGUCCUAAAAAUAUAGAUGUGUGGUUUCACAAAAUUUUCUUGAUCUUAAGAAAGAGUUAUCUUGAAAAGAAGAUAACAUGGAGAAUUCAGCAACUAUACAGUCAUAUUGAUGUCUGUCAACUUGGGUCAGAUGGUGUCGUUUGGAUGGAGAUGUUAGGUCCCAGAUGGUAUGCUUGUUAUCAAAUUCCAGUCUAAUUCAUUCAUGCUUUGAUGACAUAUGCGGUGCAGCUUCUUAUCUAAGACCUGUAUAUGUUCAGUCAUCAUUCAGUUCUGUAUUUGGCUGUCAUUCUUUCAAUGAAUUCAAACCACUUUCUGAAUACUUGCAAGGGAAAUUAUCAUUCGUAUACCCUAUAUUUACUCUGUUAUCAAAAAUACUACAACACUUUGAGGGUGUAUCAAUCGUCCACCAUAAGUUGACAAAAUGUAUCAACCGACCACCAAACCGUUAAUUGUCGUUUGAAAGUUAACGGAAUUACAGUGAAUUGACGAUUUUACCCUUGAAAAUUAUCACUUGUAUACCCAUAAAAUUCUCUUUUUAGCACUUGUAUACCCUUAAAUUAUCACUUGUAUCAUAUGAAAAGACCAAAUUACCCUUCUGAUGUUAUCAUAUUUAAACGGCAACUAACGGUUUGGUGGUCGGCUGAUACAUUUUGUCAACUUAGGGUGGACGAUUGAUACACCCUCAAAGUGUUGUAGUAUUUUUGAUAAUUGAGUAAACUAAGGGUAUACAAGUGAUAAUUUCCCUACUUGCAAAUUCAUCCAGUGUUGUCAUUGAGAUGCCAAUAUGUAAAGGAGCAAUAGUUGCCCUUGAUAGUAUGCUUAUUGAUUGCCUCUUGCCUCACUCAGCCUAAGGAAUCUGGUUGUAUGGUGUUCUUGUAAUUUCAUUUGGAGAUAAGUAAUAUCUGUUGUUCAAAUGUAUUUUAUAUACAACCAGUUCAUAAUUCUGCUUGCAGAAAGCUUACAAAGGAGCUGUGUGAUGUAAUAGAAGACUACAGUCUGGUCAAUUUUUCAACUUUAGAUAUUCAGGUCAUCAGUUUCUCUUGAAUUCUUUCUUGAGUUUCUUUGAAUUAUUUGUGAAUAAGAUCUUAGUUGGCUGCUCCUCUUCAGGAUAAGGAAAGUGUGGCAAAACUCGUGAAGCUGAUAGAUGAAAGCAAUGGGUACAUCUAUGCUGGCAUGGAUGCCAGGGCAGUUGAAUUCAGCAAGAUUGCCGUUCGCGAUGUUGAUUGGGAUUAUUUCGGAUAUCCUUCUUUUCACCUAUUUUCAAUCUUGUUAUUCUCAUAUUCAUAAAACAUUUUGGUUAUUUAAUUAUGGUUCAUCAUAUGCAUCUGCAUCUUCUAACUUGUUCGUUUGAGAAACUAAUUUUGCCGUUAGGUAGGCUUCAAGCUUGAUUCAUGCUUUUUUCAAAAAUGUACCAAAAUCAUGGAAACUUCUUUUUCCCAGAUAUUGUAUCCACACUUUUCCCAUAUAAUUGGGUCAGACAAGUUUUGCUUAACAAAGAUAUCUACAGUAGCCGAAGUGCAGGAGAAGUACAUUAAGGAUGAUGACGAUGUUAACUAAAAUGGGACGUGAAGAUAUGUGGUGUGCAAACCGUAAGCCUGCCUCUUAUUUUUGUGCAUGUUUACUUGCUUGUGAUUCACGUUUGUUAAUCUAUUUUGCUCUCUUGCAGGAGUUAUAAAGUUUUCAAUCAAUCAAACAUUUAACUCAAGUCCUUAGCUCUUCACGGCUUGAAUGGGUCAGAUAGGACAAGCGCCGAAGAGGUGGUUUUAAUCAAACCCCUCCUAAUUAUGAUGUAUGGUCCAAAUCUCGGACUUUCUGUACAAUAUCGAGCGAUUCGGACCUUUCAAGUCGAAUAUUGAUUUUUCUCCAGUAUUGUUUGUAAUUACAAGAAACGAAGUAAUGAAAUUUAUCACUGCGUUCAUAGUUAUGCUUAAGCUCAAAGAUUACCGUCAAGAUCAUUUUGGGCCCUCAAAGAAACAUGAUGUUGACACAUGUAAAAUUAUGAAGCUUGUGAUUAAAAUACUUUUGACAUAUAUAUGUUAAGUACUAUUAAUAAUUAAACAUAUGAAUAAAUAUGGUCAAUGAGGAGAGGAUAAAAUAAAAUGGUUUCAUUUUUUGAAUUACUCAACCGCUUCAAACUUCUAAGAAGUAGAUAUACAAUGAGUGGAAUACUGAAUUGAGUGCGAGCUGCGGAUAACUUAUAAAAUUGGGAUGCAAGCUUCAAGGAAAGUGUAUUGCUAUUCAAAUGUAGAUUUCAAAUUAGGAAGAUAUGCCAGCAAAUUGUAUAAAAAUGUAUAAAUUGAUCAGUAACAUUAAUUCCAAAUGAUGAAAUGAGUUAUCUUGAUCAAAAGGUCAAGAACCUACCUUACUUCUCUUAGAGAUAACUUGCAUCAACCGUUGUGGUAUUCAUACUUGUCUUCAGCUAGUAAAAGUGAAAGUUUCACAAUUGAAAUAAAGCUAAGGGAAGAUGCUAUGCUGCAUUUAUUAUUAUUAUUAUUGAUGUGGUCGAGAAGUAAAGCCAUGCAUAUGAUGAAGUAUAAAUAAGAAUGCAAUAGCCCGGAAUUCAUUUUCACAAACACUUCAAUAUCCUUUUGAUCACUUUUGCAAACAUCAAUUUGUCUCCUCUUGUAUUCACCAUGGUUGAUGCCGUCAUUUCCCCUCUCGUGGAGCAGCUGACUUCCUUCGCUGCUAAAGAGAUAAUACAACAGGUGAUCGAAGUUAAACCCCCCAUAUUAUAAAUACUUCUAAUGAUUUUAAUUGGUUUUGUUUUUAUCGAAAACAUUAACUUUGCUUUAUUUUACUUAUUUAGGCAUUUUAAAUUUUGAAAUUUGAAUUGAAUUUAAUUAAAAUGUGAUGUAGUUAGUAACCACUUUUUUUUAUUUCAUUUAAAUUCUCAAUAACUACCUAUAUUUUGGUAACUUACUGUAACCCCCGUAUCUAAGAAAUGAUCAAAACCCACAAUUUUAACUCCACAUAAAUAUUCCAUGUUGAGCUAAGUUCGAUGUUGAGGUAAGUUUUUGCAUAACAUUCAAGUUUGUCAAAUAGUCAUUAAUUAAAUGUUUAGUAAAAACUUAUCUCUGAAAAAUUUCAUAAUUUUCUUACAUUCUUUGAGUUUGGUAAGUGACUUCAUAUAAUUUCCUUUCAAUUUAAAUUUUAAUUUGGUUUCUGAUAUAGUCUCUUUACUGAAUUUAUAUCUUUUAUGAUUCUUGGAUUUGGGGCUCCAACUUUUUAGGAUUUGAUAGUCACAUUUUAUGGCAUGCUUAGAUUGAUUUUCAUGAUUUUUAGUACUCGUUAAGUGACUGAGAAUUUGACAAAAGUUUGAAAGGAAAUCCGUUUCACGAUUCUUAUGUGGAAGGUUCAUAAAAUCAUUAAAUUUGGAUAGGAUUCAUUAGCAAUAUGUACAAGACUCUCCAUGAAGUUUCGUAAUUUUUCAUUCGGUCUGGGGUGGUACAGGUAAAGCUUGUGGUUGGUGUUGAAAAAGAAGUGAAAAGCCUUACCAGCCACCUUCAAGCCAUUCAAGCUGUUAGCGAUGAUGCAGAGGAAAAGCAAGUGAAGGACAAAGCUAUUAGACUUUGGCUGGGUAGGCUCAAGUACGCAUCCUACGACAUUGAAGAUGUGUUGGAUGAAUGGAUCACGGCAAGAGGCAAAUUGCAAAUUAAGGGUGGCGCUGAUAAGAAAAAGAAGGUUUGUUUCUGCUUUCCCGCCUCUUGUUUUGGAUUCAAACAAGUCUUUCUACGUCAUGACAUUGCCAACAAGAUCAAAGAAGUCAGUGAAGAGCUACAUGAUAUUGCCACCCAAAAAGACAUGUUUAAAUUUGAGAGUAGCAGUAAAAGUAGUGAAAGACCAAGGCGUGUGCAGAGUACCUCCUUGAUUGAUGAGGAAGAGAUUUGUGGUAGAGUUGGUGAGAGGAAUGCACUCUUAAGCAUGCUGUUGUGUGAGAGCAGUGAGCAACAAAAAGGCCUUCAUAUCAUCUCAAUUGUUGGUAUGGGAGGCAUCGGGAAAACAACUCUUGCACAACUAGCAUGUAAUCAUGUUGAGGUAAAGAGAGAGUUUGACAAAAUUUUAUGGGUGUGUGUAUCAGAAACUUUUGACGAGUUUAGGAUUGCCAAAGCGAUGCUUGAAGCUUUGACUGGUUCAACUUCUAAUUUAGAUGCAUUGCAAUCUCUUCUUAUAAGUAUUGAUGAAUCUAUUGCGGGAAAGAGAUUUCUUCUUGUCUUAGAUGACGUGUGGGACGGAGAUUACAUUAAAUGGGAACCAUUCUACCGUUGCCUAAAGAAAGGUCUCCAUGGAAGUAAAAUUUUAAUUACGACACGUAAGGAGUCAAUUGUGAGCAUGAUGAGAUCCACAGAUAUUAUCUCUAUCAAGGAAUUGGCUGAAGAAGAAUGUUGGGCAUUGUUUAAGCGGUUAGCAUUUUUCGGUCGUUCCACUGAGGAGUGUGAAAAAUUGGAACAAACUGGUCAAAGAAUUGCAAGAAAGUGUAAAGGUUUACCUCUUGCUGCAAAGACAAUGGGAAGUCUCAUGAGCUCUAAAAAAAUUGAAGAAGAGUGGAAAAGAAUUUUAAAUAGUGAUUUAUGGAAGGUAGAAGAGAUCGAGAAAGGUGUUCUAACCCCUUUGUGGUUGAGUUAUAACGAUUUGCCAUCUAGAGUAAAAAGAUGUUUCUCGUAUUGUGCUGUCUUUCCAAAAGACUACAAUAUAGAAAAAGACAAACUAAUUACUUUGUGGAUGGCUCAAGGUUAUCUUAGUGCAGAAGCAGCAGAACAAGAUGAGGAGUUGGAGACUAUAGGUGAAGAGUAUUUUGGCAUCUUAGCUUCUCGCUCUUUCUUUCAAGAGUUUGAGAAACGUUAUGAUAAUCGUAUUAUAGCGUGCAAGAUGCAUGAUAUGGUACAUGAUUUUGCCCAAUUUGUUAGUCAAAAUGAAUGUUUUUCGUUGGAAGUUAAUGGUAGUGAGGAACUAAACGUCACAAACUCUACAAACUCUCUUGAUGAGAAGGUCCGUCAUUUAAUGUUAAUCUUUAGUAAAGGGGCUUCAUUACCGGUUUCCACUCUUAGAGUUAAAAGAAUGCGUACCCUCUUAAUUAACGAUAGUAGAUCUGAUCAUUCAUUAUUAAAUGGUGAGAUCCUAGAAGAAUUAUUUAGGGAGUUGACAAGUUUAAGGGCAUUAGAUUUUGGCAAAUCGUAUAACUCAAGUUGGUAUUCGACUCUGGAGAUUCCGAGAAACAUAGAAAAGCUGGUACAUUUAAGAUACCUUAAUUUGUUUUAUCAGGGAAUAAAGAAACUACCGGAGACAUUAUGCGAGUUGUAUAAUCUAGAAAAGUUAGAUAUUAGUUUAUGUUUUAAUCUUAAAGAAUUACCUGAAGGGAUUGGGAAGUUAAUAAACAUGAAGCAUUUACGAAAUAGAGGUACUAGUUCUUUAAGGUACAUGCCAGUAGGGAUUGGGAGAUUAACGGGUCUCAGGACCUUGGAUGAGUUCCACGUGAGUGGAGGAGGAGGUGUUGAUUGUAGGAAAGCAUGUAGGCUUGAAUCUCUCAAAAACUUGGAAAACCUUCGAGUGUGUGGUAUAUGUAGACUGGGUGAUGUAUCAGAAGUGGGCGAGGCUAAGCGAUUAGAACUUGACAAAAAGAAAUACCUCUCUUGUUUGAGACUUCGGUUUGAUAAGAAGAAAGAAGAAGGAGAAAGGAGGAAGAACGAGUACGAUCAACUUCUUCUUGAAGCCCUACAACCACCUCUCAAUUUAAAGGAAUUAGAGAUAGAGUACUACCGAGGCAACACUGUUUUCCCCAGCUGGAUGACGUCAUUAACCAACUUAAAGAGUUUAGAUCUCUCUUCCUGUGAAAAUUGCGAGCAGCUGCCUCCUUUGGGAAAAUUGCCAUCCCUUGAAAAUCUCCACAUAUAUCGCAUGGAGAGUGUGAAAAGAGUGGGUGAUGAAUUUUUGGGGAUAGAAAGUGAUCAUCAUGGCUCAUCUUCAUCGGUUAUUAUUGCCUUCCCCAAAUUGAAAUCACUCACAAUUUCUUUGAUGCUGGAAUUGGAGGAGUGGGAUUAUGGGAUUACAAGAACGGGAAACACCGUCAUCAUCAUCAUGCCACGUCUUUCUUCCUUGACAAUUGGGAAUAGUCCCAAAUUAAAGGCACUGCCCAACCACAUUCAUCAAACGACAACAUUGAAGACAUUGCGCAUUUGGAGGUGUGACCUUCUGGAAGAACGUUACCGCAAGGGGGAAGGAGAAGACUGGCCUAAGAUAUCACACAUUCCCAAUCUCCAUUUUGGGCUUUGACAAGUAAUUUCUUCUCUUACUCUGAUUUGCUUUGUUGUUGUUUUUAAUCUAAUUAAGAAGCGUAAAUAGCAUUUUGAAUCAAACUCUAUAUCAGAAAUCUGCAAUACUUACUUUCUAAUAUUCUGAUUUUCAUAUCCUAUGAAUAUACGAUUUUUAAUUUGUGGGAUGGGUAACGUUACUGUAAAAGAUUAUUAAUGCAAUAUGAGUAAUUCUUUUGCAGGACAAGUGGCCUACAUUUAGUUUGGCUUUGGAGUUGAAUAAUAACCUUUCGAGGUCCCGACAACCAAAAAACGAAACUUAAUUUGCCACAGAUUGCACGUAUUGCCAUUAUUGACAAUUUUCUGCACAAGCUUAGGUUGAUGUCAAAAGAGGUAAAUUAUUGGCAUGCCUGACUAUUUUGACCAUUACAUGAUUCAUAAGUUUACAUUAAUUUUGAUUUUGAGUUGAGUGAUUAAUUUUCUAGGUUUGCUUACUUUAACUGGGUGACCAAUUUCUUGUAACCAAAUGUAUGAUGUGAUGCAGGAAGCAGGGCAGGACAUGAAAAGAGAAGCUUAUUAGAGGAAGGAUUGCCAGUAACAGAAUCCAAAGAAAAAGAAACCAUUUCGAGGCAGCAGUUGGCAGUUGGCAGUGAAUGGAGCCCCUUGAAAAAACCCCCAAGCGGUUGCACUGCAAUUACGAUCAUCCUCGGCCUCAGGUAAUUUCUUCUCCUGCAUUUUUGUUAUUUGCUAUCAAGUGACUAUUUUAAGUAUGAUUGCAUUAAGCUGCUGCUGGGAAAUUUGAGGUUUUGAUGACUGCCCAUGCUAUUGUAAGAAGCUGCGGUUCUUUUCAUCAGCCUGAACCUGGACCUGCCGCUAUGGAUAACUCAGUUUUUCUUUUUUUUAAUCAACUGCCAUCUUUUCCACUGUUUAGAAACUCUUUAAGAUUAAACUUUAGUAAAGUUGUUUUAGUUAUUCAUGUAAUCAGGCUGAGGAUACUUAGCUGCCUAUUUAGGCAAAUGUCAGAAUUUAGUUUGUUCGCUGGGUACUGGUGGGGACUGGCAAAGGAUGAUGAGAUAGUUUUUUGAGUGAGUAAAUUUUGGGAGCUUGAGUGUAUUGGGAUUUGCAAUUACAAUCAUCGUCUGCCUCAGGUGAUUCUUUUUCCUGCUCUGUCAUUGUUUGUUCUCUAAUUCAAAAGCAUAAAAUAUUUCAAUCAAUUUUUAUGCCAGGAAUAUGCAAAAGUUUCUAAUAUUUUAUUUCCAUCUGUUACAAGAUCAAACUGAAGCAGAACUCAAACAAAAGUAUGCUACUUCUUGCGGAAAUCUUGCCUUUGUUCAGAUUAUGAAACCAUUUCCAUGCAGCAAAUUCAUCCAAAAGUUUGAAUAAGUUUCACGGUUGGACACUGUUGGCUUCUUUUUCUUCUGGGGUGCAUUUAGGUGCUAUCAAGUGACAGCUGUAAGUAUGAUUGCACUAAGCUGCUGCUGGGAAAUUUGAGGUUUUGAUGGCUGCCCAUGUUAUUUUCAAUAAACUAUUGAUGUAAGAAGCUGUGGUUCUUUUCAUCAGCUUGAACCUGAAACUGUCGCUAUGGAUAACUCAGGUUUUUGUUAUCAACUAUAUCAUCUUUUUCACUAUUUUGAAACUCUUAAGAUUAAACUUUAGUAAAGUUGUUUCAGCUAUUCAAAUGAAAAACUCAUUGAUUUGAGAAUUCCUUCAUUAUUGUUUCUAAUUACAAUGCUAACGAUCCAGAUAAAAUAAUAUUUAAUCGGCGAAGGUGUCCCUUGGAAGUACAUCCUUCUUUUUCUUUUAUUAUAUCAAUUCUUGCAAUGAGCUUAGUGAAGCUGUUGUGCUAAUCAUGCCACUGCAUAAUUUGGCCCCUAAUGUGGGUACUCUGUUACAUUGUUCUGCAAAUUCUCCAGAAGUUAAAAUCAAUAAAUUUUCUAUUAGCUCUAGUGCUUUGACCUAAAUGCUAUUCUAUAUUCUGAUUACAAUGUUUUAACCUUUAAAUUAACUACCCCUAGAUGUUGGAUUUUCUAGAACUUCAAAAUGAUUAAUGGAGAAAGAUCCCAUUAUCGUUAUUGCUAUAAGAAAUUGAUUUAUGCAUCCAAAGAUACAUUAUAUAUUUCUGUGUCUCUAUUUAUAGAUGACAUUUAAGCAUCCAUAAACCGUCAGACAGAGGAAGGGGGUUCAGUGCAAAGAUUCUGUUGACCUAGGGUUGACUGCAUAUGUCACUUGUUCGCAAUCUAUUAUUUAUUUUAUAUUUUGAAGAAUUUAAUGGGUAAUCCUAAUUGUUUGUUUUGGCAGGUAUGUGUUGUUAUCUCCUUCUAUCUAACAGUCGUACCUAAAUAGCAUAGUUUCAUCUGUGUUACCAUGUGAUGUACAUAAUUUCACAUUUGCCUCAGAUUAAGCUUAAUUUCCCACAGAAUAGAGCUGUCGCGACUGGACUUAGGUUGAUGUCCAAAGAGGUAAAUUAUUGGUAUGCCUAGAUAAUUUGGCCAUUUCCUAAUUCAUAAGUCUACAUUAAUUUUGAUUUUGAGUUGACUGAUUUCUUUUCAAGGUCUGCUUCCUUAACGGAGUGACCAAUGUUUUUCAACUAAAUUUAUCAUAUGAUGCAGGAAGCAGGGCAGGAUAUGCAAUGAGAAUCUCAUUGGUGGAAGUAUUGCCAGUAACAGAACCCAAAGAAAAUGAAACUGUUUCAAGGCAGCAGUUGGCAGUUGCAAGUGAAUGGAGGCCCUUGACAAAAUUCUCAAGCGGUUGCAAUGCAAUUACGAUCAUCCUCAGCCUCAGGUAAUUUCUUCUCCUGCUUUGUAUUUAUUUGUUAUCUAAUUAGGAAGCGUAAAGUAUCUUGAAUCAUUUUCUGUAUCUGGAAUAUAUGCAAGAGUUUCUAAAAUUUUGAUAUGAGUGUGAUGAUGGUAAUUUCUGUUUUCUGUCUGUCUUCAAAUGUUAGAAAACUUUCAUUGAGACGCUUGAACCGAGUCAUUUUUGACAAGUGAAGUGCUGAAGAGUGAAGAGUAAGAAUGGUGCUAGAUUGGGGAAUAAAGCAAAAGGAGGUAAAUUAUUGGCAGCUUCUUCAGCCUUAUUUUCUUUGGACCAGUGCCUAACUCACAAGUCUCCAUAAUUCGGCUUUUGACCAGUUGAUAGAUAAAAUUUUAAUUUCAUUGGUGCUAAUGUACCCGUGAAGCAGGCAGAGAAGGACUGUGGAAAAGAGAAGGUUUUUAGUGAAAGCUUAAACUCAGGUAAUUCUAAAAAUUAUAUGUUUUGGCUGAUUUAUCUAAAUCAGGAAAUUUUAUUUCCAUCUGUUACAAUAAAACAGAAACAGAACACAAAGAAAAAUAUUCUACUUCUUGUGGCAAUCUUGCCUUCAUUCAGACUAUGAAACCAUUUCCUUUCACCAAUUUCUUCCAAAAUUUUGAACACGUUUCAUGGUUGGACAUAGUUAUCUUCUUUUUCUUUUGGUGCAUUUAGGUACUAUCAAGUGACAGCCAUAAGUAUGAUUGCAUUGUUGGGAAAUUUUAGGUUUUGAUGGCUCCCCAUGUUAUUGCCAAGAAAUUUUAAGUCCUCAUGUCAGAAGCUGCGUUUCUUUUCAUCAGCCUGAACCCGAACCUGUCACUAUGGAUAACUGAGGUUUUUGUCAUCAACUAUAUCAUCUUUUUCACUGUUUUGAAACUCUUAAGAUUAAACUGUUGAGAAGUCAAUAUUAGCCCAAAUAAGUCCACACCUAAAUUAAUUUGAUGUCAUUGCUUACAUCAAUUUAGUUAGGUGAAUAUUAGCCCAAAUAAGUCCACACCUAAAUUAAUUUGAUGUCAUUGCUUACAUCAAUUUAGUUAGGUGAAAAUUAGGUAUUUUUCCCAUGUUUAAUUUCAAUGGUUUAAAUUAGUUUGUGGUUAUUUUAAUGAGUGGUUUAGAUUGUUUCUUGUAACCUAUAAAUACCUCAUUUGUAUUUGAGUUUUAUUAUUCAACAAUAAAAAGCUUUAUUAUAAGCAUUUGAAAGCUUUCUUAAGAGUUCUUCUCUUUUUGCAAUUUUGUGAGAUUAUUCUAAAGAGAGUUUUUCUUCUUCUUGAUCAAUUAGAGUUUUUACUCUAUUUUGAUUCAACAUUUGGUAUCAGAGCAUUGGUUGUAAAGUCUCUUGAAAUUCCGAGUAUGCUCUGUGGUUGCAGUUUUGACUGAUCUUCCACAUCAGAAAAGAUUUCUUGAGAUUAUUGCUGGGGUUAUCACAAACCUUGAGAGGGAGCUUCUUUGUGUCAAGAGUAGUGUAUUAUUCUGCACGGUAGUCACUCAAGAUUGUUCGGUGUAGUCAAAGUCUUGUCGAUACGAUGGGUGAUCUUCAAGUUGUUGGAGGAAUCAAGAAGCUCAACAACCAAAACUAUAACACGUGGGCAACGUGUAUAGAAUCUUACCUUCAAGGUCAAGACUUGUGGGAGGUUGUCGGUGGUAGUGAAGUUACACAACCGGCAGCGGAAGAUGCUAACGGCGUCUUGCGGAAGUGGAAAAUUAAAGCAGGCAAAGCAAUGUUUGCUUUAAAGACCACAAUAGAAGAAGAAAUGUUGGAGCACAUUCGGGAUGCUAAAUCACCGAAGGAAGCGUGGGACACCUUCGCUACACUCUUUUCGAAGAGGAACGAUACAAAAUUGCAACUUCUCGAGAAUGAACUUCUAUCAAUGGUGCAACGCGACAUGGCGGUUGCCCAAUACUUUCACAAGGUGAAGUCGAUAUGCCGUGAAAUUUCAGAAUUAGAUCCGACAGCUGCUAUUGGGGAAGCCAGGAUAAAAAGAAUAAUUGUCCAUGGCUUGAGACCCGAAUACCGAAGCUUUGUAGCCGCUGUACAAGGAUGGCCGACACAACCAUCACUUGUUGAGUUUGAAAAUUUGCUGACAGGCCAAGAAACUAUGGCCAAGAAAAUGGGAGGAGUCUCACUAAAGGGUGAAGAGGAAGCGCUUUACACCAACCAAAGCAGAGGUGGUUCAAGACAGCACAACAAAGGCGGAUCUAGAAAGACUGGUGAACAGACAAAAAGUCAUCAGGGAGGGAAUGGCUCUCGUCCAGGGGGAGCUUCGAAGAAUCGUGACAGUAAUAGAAAGUUCGAUGGCGAAUGUUACAAUUGCGGGAAGAAGGGCCACAUGAAGAGAGAUUGUUGGUCCAAAAAGAAGUCUACCGAAAGCAAUAUUGCUACUUCUAGUUCUAAAGAAGAUAGUGAAGAUAGCUGGGAUGCCGAAGCAUUACUCGCUAUGGAGGAAGAAGAAUUAGCUCUCACGGUAACAACACCAGAAAAGAUUAACUACGAGAAUGAUUGGAUCGUAGACUCAGGCUGCUCAAAUCACAUGACGGGUGAUAGACAGAAGUUGCAAAACUGUUCUGAGUACAAGGGAAAUCGUGUGGUGGUAACAGCUGACAACUCAAGGUUACCGAUAGCUCACAUCGGUAAAGCGAUCGUUACACCUCGAUAUAGUCCCAACCAAGUGCCACUUCAAGAUGUCUACCAUGUUCCAGGAAUGAAGAAAAAUUUGCUAUCCGUAGCUCAAUUGACAUCAUCAGGCCACUAUGUCUUGUUUGGUCCACAAAAUGUGAAGGUAUUUCGAGACCUGAAGAUCUCAGAAAACCCUACGAUGGAGGGACGACGAUUGGAGUCAGUUUAUGUGAUGUCAGCUGAGUCUGCAUACGUAGACAAGACAAGAAGGAAUGAGACGGCAGAUCUGUGGCACAUGCGGCUAGGUCAUGUUAGUUAUUCCAAGCUAAGUGUGAUGGUGAAGAAGUCGAUGCUUAAGGGACUUCCACAACUUGACGUGAGAACAAAUACUGUUUGCGCGGGAUGUCAAUAUGGUAAAGCACAUCAAUUGCCAUACGAGGAGUCGAAGUUUAAAGCAAAGAAACCAUUAGAGUUAAUUCACUCUGAUGUGUUUGGACCAGUUAAGCAACCAUCAAUUGGCGGAAUGCGGUAUAUGGUUACGUUCAUUGAUGAUUUCUCCAGAUAUGUAUGGGCUUUCUUCAUGAAAGAAAAAUCUGAAGCAUUCUCAAAGUUCAAAGAGUUCAAAGAGAUAGUCGAAGGAGAAGUGGAGCAAAAGAUUCGUUGCUUGCGCACAGACAACGGGGGUGAGUAUAGCUCGAGAGAGUUUUCUCAAUACCUACGGGAAUGCCAAAUACGUCAUCAGUAUACUUGUGCCAAUACGCCACAACAAAAUGGUGUAGCAGAGAGGAAGAAUCGGCACCUUGCUGAAAUUUGCCGGAGUAUGCUACAUGCGAAGAAUGUACCUGGAAGAUUUUGGGCCGAAGGUAUGAGAACUGCAGCUCAUGUCAUCAACAAGCUUCCUCAACCAAGGUUGGAGUUUGUUUCACCCUUUGAGAAAUUGUGGAACAAGAAACCUACAGUUAGCUAUUUUCGAGUAUUCGGUUGUGUAUGCUAUGUAUUUGUUCCUGACCAUCUACGUAGCAAGAUCGAUAAGAAAGCAGUCAGAUGUAUCUUUGUGGGAUACGACAAUCAGCGAAAAGGGUGGAAGUGUUGUGAUCCAGUAGAUGGAAGGUGCUACACAUCACGAGAUGUGGUGUUUGAUGAAGCAUCCUCAUGGUGGACCUCAGAAAAAGAAGUGCUGCCAGACUCGAAAGAAUUCGGAGACAUGCUACAACAAAAGAUGGGGGAGCAUACUGUCCAAAUUCAUCUAAGCUCAGCUGGGGAUCUAUGCGAUAGUGAUAGCGAACGAAGAGUAACUCUAAAUCCUUGGCAAUCUGGGGUGUAUCGACAACCAGAUGAAGAAGGUGUGCCUAGUGAAACAGAAGAAUCAACUCCAUUACGAAGGUCAACAAGAACCCGAAGGCCAAAUCCCAAAUACGCUAAUGCAGCCAUAGUUGAAGAAGCAACUGGAAUAGAACCUGAGACGUUCGAAGAAGCGUCACAGAGUUCUGAGUGGAUGACAGCUAUGAAAGACGAGAUCACUGCACUUGAGCAAAAUCAGACCUGGGAACUCGUGCCAAAGCCAAAAGAUGUGAAACCCAUAUCCUGCAGAUGGGUUUACAAAAUAAAGCACUGUCCAGAUGGGUCAAUCGAGAGGUACAAGGCUCGAUUGGUAGCUCGUGGUUUCUCUCAACAAUAUGGACUAGAUUAUGACGAAACGUUUAGUCCAGUGGCAAAACUUACAACCGUCCGAGUCUUACUUGCACUUGCAGCCAACAAAAGCUGGAACUUGUGGCAGAUGGACGUGAAGAAUGCCUUUCUCCAUGGAGAGCUGGAUAGAGAGAUCUACAUGAUUCAACCGAUGGGUUUUCAGAACCGAGGUCACCCUGAGUAUGUGUGUAAACUGCGAAAGGCUCUCUACGGACUAAAACAAGCACCCAGGGCGUGGUAUGGCAAGAUUGCUGAAUUUCUAACUCAAAGUGGGUAUUCAGUAACAUCUGCAGACUCCAGCUUGUUUGCUAAAGCUAAUGGAGAAAGGAUAGCUAUUGUGCUCGUGUACGUAGAUGAUCUAAUCAUCACUGGAGAUGAUGUUGAAGAAAUUUUCCGAACAAAGGAGAACUUGUCAGUUCGUUUUCAAAUGAAAGAACUUGGACAACUUAAGCAUUUCCUUGGGCUAGAGGUUGAUCAGACGAAAGAAGGGAUAUUUCUUUGUCAACAGAAAUAUGCCAAAGAUUUGUUGAAGAAGUUUGGGAUGCUAGAAUGUAAGCCGAUCUCAACACCGAUGGAACCAAAUGCCAAGAUGUGUGCACAUGAAGGCAAAGACCUGGAAGAUGCAUCGAUGUAUCGACAAUUAGUGGGUAGUCUAAUCUACUUAACCUUGACUCGACCUGACAUUUCUUAUGCAGUUGGCGUGAUGAGUCGAUACAUGCAAAAUCCGAAGAAGUCUCAUUUAGAAGCGGUUCGGCGAGUACUCAGAUAUGUGAAGAGUACAAUAGACUAUGGUCUUUUAUACAAGAAAGGUGGAAAUUGCAAACUAGUUGGCUACUGUGAUGCUGACUAUGCAGGAGAUCACGAUACUCGCAGAUCAACUACUGGGUAUAUGUUUACCCUUGGAUCUGGAACGAUUUCUUGGUGUAGCAAGAGACAACCGACUGUGUCCAUGUCAACUACGGAAGCAGAGUAUCGAGCAGCAGCAAUGGCAGCUCAAGAAAGCACGUGGCUGAUACAACUAAUGAAUGAUCUACAUCAACCACUAGAUUAUACAGUUCUGUUGUACUGUGACAACCAAUCGGCAAUUCGGCUGGCGGAGAAUCCUGUUUUUCAUGCAAGAACUAAACAUGUGGAAGUGCAUUACCACUUUGUUAGGGAAAAAGUUCUGCAAGAAGAGAUUGAGAUGAGGCAAGUCAAGACAGAUGAACAAAUUGCUGACUUGUUUACAAAAAGCUUGAGUGUUGGAAAGUUUGAACAUUUCCGUCGUCAGCUUGGCAUGAUUCAAAGAAUGGGGGCUAACAUUGAGGGGGAGUGUUGAGAAGUCAAUAUUAGCCCAAAUAAGUCCACACCUAAAUUAAUUUGAUGUCAUUGCUUACAUCAAUUUAGUUAGGUGAAUAUUAGCCCAAAUAAGUCCACACCUAAAUUAAUUUGAUGUCAUUGCUUACAUCAAUUUAGUUAGGUGAAAAUUAGGUAUUUUUCCCAUGUUUAAUUUCAAUGGUUUAAAUUAGUUUGUGGUUAUUUUAAUGAGUGGUUUAGAUUGUUUCUUGUAACCUAUAAAUACCUCAUUUGUAUUUGAGUUUUAUUAUUCAACAAUAAAAAGCUUUAUUAUAAGCAUUUGAAAGCUUUCUUAAGAGUUCUUCUCUUUUUGCAAUUUUGUGAGAUUAUUCUAAAGAGAGUUUUUCUUCUUCUUGAUCAAUUAGAGUUUUUACUCUAUUUUGAUUCAACAUAAACUUCAGUAAAGUUGUUUCAGUUAUCUAUGUAAUCAGGCUAAGGAUAUUUAGCAGCUUAUUUAGGCAACUGCCAGAAUUCAGUUUGUUCGCUCGAAACUUGUAUGGUGACAAGGAUACUGGCAAGGAUAGUGAGAUAGUUUUUUGUGCGAGUGAAUUUUGAAAGCUUGGGUGUUCUGGGAUUUGCAAUUGCAAUCAUCCUCUGCUUUAGGUGAUUUCUUCUCCUCUUCUGUCUUUAUUUUCUCUCUAAUUGAAAGCAUAAAGUAUUUCAAUCAAAUUCUGUACCAGGAAUACGAAAAAUUUACUAAUAUUUUAUUUCCAUCUGUUUGCAUUGAUAACUUGGCCGCUUAUGUACUAGUUAAAGAACAAACAGAAGCAGAGUUCAGGAAAAAGUUUCUUCGGCCACCAUAUUUUAAAAUGAAACCAUUUCCAGGAAGCAGUUGGCAGCAAAUUCAUAGAAAGUAUAGACAAUGAUGAGCAAAAAGGUGAUUCGCAAUUUCAUUUUUUUAAAAUGAAAUUAUUUGUUAAGUUGGAGCUGAUAUUGUUAGAAGGCCAUUGAGCUAACCUAUGACACUGCUUGCCUAGAUUGCAGGAGGUCAAGACUCAAAAGAUGCACUGAAUUUUAAAAGGCAUGCAAUAAUUCUUAUGGCCAUUUGUCAAUGGUGGAAUGCUUUUAGCUUCUUUUCCUUUCGUGCAUUUUGGGGUUCUAUCAAGCGACAGCCGUAUGUAUGGACGGAUAUAGCUGCUGCGUUGAUUUCUAAUGCGUUGUAUGAUGUUAUAGCAACUAUCUAUCUGGUCAAUGUUUCAAAAGAAUAAGACACAGGGAAAAAGAGAAAGCAAGUGGCCAAUCAAGUAUUCAUGUCCCAAAGAAAAGAAUGAUUCGACAAUAGCAUUAAGGGUUAAUUGGACACAACAGAAGUGUUUUAACCACUUCAAGGAAUGUAAAUGUAAUUUUCCAUUCUAAAGAAAAAGUAAAUAUAUGCACUGUCAAUUAAUCUUUGGUCAACCAGCAACAUUCAUAAUUUCGUGUAAGUUUCAUUUCUGUUUGUUGGAAAUAGCAGUGUAUUUCUGAGAGUUUGUUCAAAAUGGAAAGAUUUUAAAAUAUAAAUUUCACAUCUGUUUAUUACUGUUGUUUGGUCUAAUUUCUUAUGUAGAAUUUUCAGAAUCUGUCGGACAUUAGUUUAUAAUUUUGAGAUUUUGCAGCCAUAAAUUUUUUUUUUUUUUGGUUGCCAUUUUAUUUUGCUCCUUUAUCUAUGUGCAUGUUGACUGGCUGCAGUGAGUGAAAAUUUACCCAUAUUUGCUGGCUAUUCUUGGACAAUAUUAGAGAAAAUAAUCAUAUUAUUUCGCGUGAAGUGAACUUCCAUAACUUAUCAAUUGAAUUGCUGUAAAAUAUUAAAUAGUUUUAUUUUUCUUUUAUCGUGUAACUUGGACCAAAAAAGGAAAUGAGUUUAACAUGACCCUCAUUCCGGCACUAUGCAUGUUUUUCUUGUAUUGAUGACAGUGCUCUUGGUGCUUCUCAUCUGCUUCUUGCUUUGGUUUCAAACAAGUCUUUCUCCGUCGAGACAUUUAUUGUAAUUUCAUUUGGAGACAUAUAUCUGUCGUUCAAAUAUAUUUCAUAUGCAAGCUGUUAAUAAUUCUGCUUGCAGAAAGCCUACAAAGCAGCUGUGUGAUGUAAUAGAAGACCAUAGUCUGGUCAAUUUUUCAGCAUUAGAUAUUCAGGUCAUCAGCUUCUCAUGAAUUCUUUCCUGAGUUUCUUUGAAUUAUUUGUGAUGUAAUAACUUGUGCAUUUGAGAAACUGUUCUCUUGAAUUCUUUCUUGAGUUUCUUUGAAUUAUUUGUGAAUAAGUUGUUAAUCGGCUGCUUCUCUUCAGGAUAAGGAAAGUGUUGCAAACUGGUGAAGCAGCUGAUAGAUAAAAGCAAUGGGUACAUCUUUGCUGGCAUGGAUCGAUGCCAGUGCGGUUGAAUUCAGCAAGACUGCCGUUCGUGAUGUUGUUGAUUGGGAUUAUUUUCAACCUUAUGAUUCUCAUAUCCAUAGAACCUUUUGGUUAUUUAAUCAUAUUUCAUCGUAUGCAUCCGCAUCUUCAUGUGCGUUUGAGAAACUGUUUUGCGGUUAGGCAGGUUUCAAUCUUGAUUCAUGCGUCUUUCAUAAAUGUACAAAAUUAUGGAAACUUCUUUUUCCCAGAUAUUAUAUCUGCACUUAUUCCCAUGUAAUCGAGUCAGACAAGUUUUGCUUAACAAAGAUGUCUACAGUCGCUGAAGUGCAGGAGGAGUACAUUAAGGGUGAUGACAACAUUGAUUAACCCAACCCAACCUGUAAAAAAUCACACCGGUUAGGUUGGUUUCACGGAUUGGGCGGGUUGGUGCCCACCCAUAAAUAUAACCUCCAUUUCAGUACAAUGCAUGUUAAUUGUUCUCCAAGGACUUCUCUUGUUUCCCAUUCCCAACCUCCAUGCUCUCGAGAGGAAUUUGGCACCCAUCAAUUUUUAUUUUUGAAAACUCGUAAUGGUCUGAUAAAAUUAAACAACAUCAAUAACGUUACCAGUCUUUAAAUAGUAAUUAAUUUAUUUAAUUUGCCACCUAAAAGAAUCCUGCUGGAAAUAGAGGUUAAAAAUUUUAUUAGAUCUGCUUACCUUUGUUCAUUCAGCAAAAACACUUACAAUUCAUAGCUAGAGAAUCUAUCCAUUGACAAUUGUGGAUUAAAAUUAUAACACCUGAAUUCAAACAUAUCCUUAUGAAGUUAUGAAUUUGUUCAUACUUCAAAUGAUUUUUUUUUCCCCAAGCUAAUAAAGCGACCACUUUGAUCAAACAACGAUGUUGAAGGAAUUGCGUAUUUUCAAUGUCCUUUUCCAGACAGACGUUCGAGAGAGGGAAAGGAGAAGACUGGCCUAAUUAAGAUAUCUCACAAAGAUUAUUAUUGAGUUAAAAUGUUAUUGUAAAAGAUGUUUAAUACAAUAAUAGUACUUCUUUUGCAUUGUUAUAAUGAGGCUGGUGGGUUUCCUCAGAGGAUGGAUCUGGCUCGCUAGUAUGCAUUUGGGAAGCUGCUAAUUAUCGGCCAUAAAAAGUCAGGGGGUUGUGGCUGUUCCGUCGCCCAGAAAUUCCUAAACUCAUAUAUCAAAUUUCGGAUGAACUUGGGCAUUAUGUAAAUAUGUAUUUUUGAGAAUUAAACUAGUGCGUUAGAAAAAUUUUGAGCCACUGUAAUCAUUUGAUUUUGCUAAGAGAAAAUUUUACUCUGUGUUUCGCUUUGCCUUUUGUUUUUUCUGUGAUAAUAUGAUUCAUACGAAUGUGAUUACACACUAUCAUGCAUCUAUUUUCAUUUGCUUGUCAUGAAUGAUCAACAUGCUCGAAAUAUUUAUAUAGGUUGGAAAUAUUUAAAUCUAUUAAAAUACUAUACACACCCAUUUUAAAAUAAAAAUAUGAUUAUUAUAAUGAUCGCGAAGGUAACACGAUAUCAUAAAUAAAAUAAAAUAUUUCGCAAAAAAGAUAAGAUACGCUUGAAUACAUUGGUAUAAAAAAUAUUUUAGUGGAUUCAAGUAGCACUAAUGCUCCCUUAUCAAAAAAUAUAUAAAGAUAACUAAUCUGAUUGGGUAUACCGUGUGUGUGUGUGUAAUAUUUUUUGAUAUUAUUAUAUAAUAUUUUUUAAAAAGAAGAGAGAGUGGGCAAAGUUCAAAUCAAUUUUCUAAUCCCUAUCUCCUUUAGGAUUUAAACUUCGGUGUUUAGUGUCACGGGUCGCUCAAAUUUUCUAGUCAAAGAGGCUAAAUUGCACGAAAUUGUGCUAGCUUAUUUGAUUUUAAAAUUUUCCAAUGCACUGUAACACACUCUCAUGCUUGUACAUAGCUCGAAAAUCUCUAGAAUUUACCAGAGUAGUGUAGCAUGUAGCUUGUACAUAGGUUUUUCUGGAACACUCCAAGCAUUACUAAGCAUAAGAGCUUUGAGAACUCUCUAGACAUAAAACAUUCAAGGGUAGGCCUGCCCUAAAAAUAGGGCAUGAUGAUUGCCAUUUGAGCAUACAAGAAGUAAGAACAAAUCAAGUAUAUUUGUAAGCUCCCAAACUCUCUCGUACACACUCCUGUGAAUAUUAUGCUUUCUCUUUGACUAUAUUACUCUCUCUUCUCUCUAGUUUUUUUUCGCAAGUAUCAUAUCUUAGCUAGUCGAAAAGUUCAAGUAAGAAUGAUAAUUUUUCCUGAUGGGAUGGGAUGGGAUGGGAUCCUGUGGGAUCCCAUCUCAUUUAGGACGGGAUUGGGAUACAUUUUUAUCCCAUAAAAAAAUAUAGGGACGGGAGUAGAACUUUUUUUAUCCCACUUGUAUCUAUGGGACAGGACUGAGAUUAACAAAUCCAGUCUCGUCACGUCUCGUCUCAUUGCCAACUAGGGAUGGAAAUUUUUCCAAUUGAGAUGGGCUCUCACAGAAUCCCAUUUUUUUGGGGAUGCGAUUGAGACAUAUUUUUAUCCCAAAAAAAUAUAUCGACAGUGACACUUUUUUUUAUCCCACUUGCAUAUUCGGGACGAGACUGAGAUUAGUAAAUCCCACUCUAUCCCAUCACAUUGCCAACCCUAAGUUCAAGGCUUACUUUGCAACUAUCUCAUAAAAGUUGUUUUAAGUACCACAGGAGUUUGUUGUGCAAAAUACUCAUCCCGUGACAUUAGCUAAAUAAAAUUGUUUGAAAGCCACUUACCCAAACUAUUAAACAAAUAUUAUUCUUUUAAUAUGCAAUCUUUUAAUAUAAACUUUUGUCUUAAUUUUCUAUCUCCUACAAUAAAUUUUAUGAUUUUAAAAAUUGAAAAAAUUAAUAACUUUUAGAUAGAGCAUUCCUUACUGUUAAAAGAAAUAUGAAUGGUAAUAUAAAACUUACUUAUUAUAGUAUAAUGCUUUUAGUUUUUUGAAAUAAGGUUCUUAUUUUUUUCAAGAUAAAAUUCAAAGAAAACAAGUUAAAUGUUGUGGAAAAUCUUACGCCCAUACAAUAAAUUAUGACAGCUAAAUGCAAACCUGGCUGAAGUAUUAGUUGUUUUAUUACAAUCUCCAAAAAGAUGAGCACUUCCAAAAUCUUUCUUUGUAACAAUAAACACUACUGGUCAGCAACUAUCCAAGUCAAAAGUAACUCAAUGUGAGUCUUAGUGCACUUGCAGUGAAUCCCAAGAUAAACUAAUUUCACUAGCAAGUUGGAUACCAAAGAGUAAGGCUUCAGCCUCAAUUAUAUUAAAAUCUGAGUAAACAUUAAAUACCACAAUCAAACUCAGAAAUCAUAAUUAAACUAUCAUGAUUAAAAAUAAAGUUUUUUUUUUAGAUAUCCGUUUGUAGUAUCUCUUUAGAUGACAAAUAGGAGAUAAAAUAAAUAAAUAUUGGUUGCGUAAAUAAAAUAAAUAAUUUUUUUAACUGAAAAAAAUUCCUAAAAACUAAAUAGUUCAAACUUUUUUUAACAUGAAAUAAAUAUUAGAUGCGUAAAUAUAAAAAAAUUAACUGAAAAAAUUUCCCAAGAACUAAAUAGUUCAAACUUUUUGUUUAACAUCAUGGGUUUUGUAUAUUCAAUUGAACCGAACAACUAAAUUAAAUCGAAAUUACCCUGUUCGGUUCAAAUGAAUAGACGAAAACCGAACAGUUCAUAUUUUUUGAACUGAUGGUGCGUUUACUUCAUGAAAUGAAAAUAUGGUGGAAUGAGAAUGGGCUGGAAAUGAGAAUGUGUUGAAAUGAGAAUGAAGAAUGAGAAUGAGAUUCUAAUGUUUACUUAAUAAAAAUAAAGGGAAAUGAGAAUGUGCUGGAAUGUCAUUGAUGUGUUUAUUUGACAAAAUAAAUGGGAAUAAAGAAUGAGAAUGAGAAUUAAUUUACCAAAAUACCCAUAGUAUUAAAUAAUAUAAUUUUUAUUUUACUAGAUACAUGUAUAAAUAUUAUUAUAAAAAUAAUAUUAAUUAAAAUAAUAAAUGUUAAGAAUGAUAAUAUUAAUAAAAAUAAUAAUAACAAUAAUUAAUAAUAACUAAAAUAAUAAAGUUAAUAAAAAUAACAACAACAAUAAUAAUAAUAAUAAUAAAUGUUAAUGAUGAUGAUGAUGAUAAAUGUUAAUAAUGAUAAUAUUAGUAAAAAAAUAAUAACAGUAAUUAAUAAUAACUAAAAUAAUAAAGUUAAUAAUAAUAAUAAUAACAUUUAAAAUAAUAAAAUUAAUUGUGAUUUGAAUCAGAGUAAUUCGAAAAAUAUAAAAAAAUUAAAAUGAUACAAAAAUAAACAUAAAUUUUAUCCCCGUUCCCUCAUUUUCAUUCUCAAUUCCCCAUGAAAAUAGAAUUCCCAUUUCUUAUUUUCAAAUUACGGAAUCCCCAUAUUUUAUUAUCAUUCCCAAAUUAUAUUUUACCAAAUAAAUAUAAAUUUUAUUCAUAUUUUUUCAUUUCCAUUCUUUAAACCUUCAAGUAAACACAAUUUUCUUUUAAUUCGGGUUCUGGGCCUGAACCGAACCGUACCGUAAACUGCCCACCCUUACAGUAGUUUUCGGGGUUUUUAAUUAAAUAUGCCUUAAAAGUAGUGUAUUUAGUUAAAUAUACCCAUGUUUGAAAAUUAUCUAAGUAUGCCUUUUUAUGUGGUACAUUGUCUAAAAUAUCCCUAAAGAAAAAUAUAAAACACACACACAACUCACAACACUCUUUGCUUCUCACGUAUUUAUCAUCUAUACAAAAACUCACACCACACUCAAAAUCACUCACAAACAGCUAAUGCACUGAGUUUGUUUGCAGUUGGGUGUAUUAUUCAUCCCAUGAAUAAGGUAUUUGAAACUUUUUUUAUUUUAUUUUGGGCUAUCUAUUCAAUUUGUUGACAUUAUAUUAUUUUUAGGGUUUUGUUUGGUUUGUGAUAAACACUAAAGCAACUCAUAUUUUCAUUACAUUUGCAUCAUAUGACUGUUAUUUGAUGGAUUUUAUAACUACAUUCGUUAAAAUCUGAAGUUGUUGUCAAAUUUUUUUCUGCACCCGACAUACACGACAGCAGUCGUGUAUGUAUGUAUUUACAUGACUGUAGUCGUGAAAAUGUGCAAAAAAUUUCAAUUAUUAUGACACCUUAUUAUUCUAUUGGUUCAAAAAAUAUAUAUUUUUCACUAUAUAUAUCCUUUUACUAUUACUAUACUAUAGUCGUGUGUGUGAAUAAGUUACACGACUACUAACGUGUACGUAUAAACUUACAUACUAUAAUUGUUAAUAAGUUACACGACUACUAUGAACCUUAUAUACUUGUUAUUUUUUGUUGUUUUAAUUUUUUUAAUAUCUUUCAUAUUUAGUGAUAAAUUUUUACCUUUUUGUUUCGCAGAUGAAUAAACAUGUUUGUGUGACUUUCUAAGAACAAGUAUUGAAGGGAGGCGACCAGAGACUUAUAAAAUAUGGACUGAGUGUUUGGGUUGAAUAUGCCAAAAAUUUAUGAUGAAUGUUAAAUAACUUCUAUUAUAUUACGACUUAUUUACGAUUUCAAUAAUUAUUGGAUUUGUGUUAUUUGAUAGGCAAUCGAACUAUAGUUAGUUUCAUUUAUUUGAAGUUUGAUAUGUUUAAAAUCUAUAUUGAUUGUGUCAUCAAUAUAAUGAAUGAUUGAAAAGAAUUUUUAUUCUGUGCACAUACCCGAGUACAAUCGUGUAUUUUGGCUGUUACAAAACUAGUCAUGUUUAUUUCUAAAUACUCGACUACAGUCGUGUAUCUGUGCAAAUACUCGAUUAUCACAGAGAGUUUGUCAUAUUUAUUUCUAAAUACUCGACCAUAGUCGUGUAUCUAUGCAAAUACUCGACUACAGUCAAGUAUUUUGUCACAGAGAGCUUGUUAUUUUUAUUUGUAAAUACCCGACUACAGUCGUGUAUAUGUGCAAAUACCCAACUGCAGUCGAGUAUUUUGUCACAGAGCUUAUUAUGUUUAUUUCCAAAUACCCGACCGCAGUCGUGUAUCUGUGUAAAUACUCGACUGCAGUCGAGUAUUUUGUCACAGCUUAUUAUGUUUAUUUUUAAAUACCCGACCACAGUCGUGUAUCUGUGCAAAUACCCGACUACAGUCGAGUAUUUUGUCACAGAGCGUAUUAUGUUUAUUUCCAAAUACCCGACCGCAGUCGUGUAUUUGUGCAAAUACCUGACUGCAGUCAUGUAUUCUCUUACAGUGUAUUCCUUGUGUAUAUAUUGUGCAAACUAUCUUAUCUAUCAUUAAUAUAAAUAACAAAGAAAUAAAAUAUAUUAAUGCUGUCAAUUGUCUUUAAUGACAUCAAAUAUCAAUAACAUCCUCAUUACAACUAUUACAUCUCAUAAUCUAAAAAAUGACACUACAAAGUUUUUUUCCAUGACCUAUGCCCAAAUAAUUUUACAACCAAGGCUUGUCGAAAUUAUGUAACAUGAUUUUGUUGGCAUUAUGAAUUGACAUCAAGUCCAUGGACUAGGACCUCCAAGUACCGCAACAAAAAUGCUCCACAUUCACCACUAAAAAAAUUCAUAUAAAUCAAUUGUUAAAAAUCAUCAUUCUUAUUAUUAUGUUCAAAACACAUUAUAUAUAUAGUACAUACCCUGAUUUUUGUUGCGGGAUGUCACGCACUCGCACGAUGGGCCAAGGAAUUUUCGAAAUAACCUCACUACAGUCUGGAUGUGUUUCGUGAUAUGCUAUCUUCUGAAGUACUAGAGGUAUCAUGUCUGCAACAGGCAGCAAUUGUCUCACCAAAACUGAAUCCUUUGUUAAGUCUAUCAUGGAGUCAUAAAUAGAAAUCUUGCCCCCAAGUAUAUCGACCACACCGAGAACCCAAUGAUCAUUCAUGAAUAUUGGCAAAUACACCUACGAAAUACAGACAAUAUUCUUAACAAGUAACGGCAAAUAUAUCUACGAAAUGCUGUAACUGUUUUUAUCUACUUGCAGUUGAUUUAUUAAUAGUAUACUAUCAAUAGUUUUAUGCUAAAACAAAUAGCAAAUUGUUAAUAAAUUAGAAUUGUAAAAUAAAGGUUCUACAACAAAUAAUAGAGAAAACCCAGAUUGUAGCAUAAUGAAUGCAUACGCAGUUGAAGAAAAUUGAUAUAUAAUUCCCAUGGAUGAAGUUCAACUACAAACAAUAAGUAAAAUUAUAUAAAGAUCUAAUGCAUAAACUAGUGUAGCCAUAACCGAAAAUUCAUAAGGAUAAUAUUUAAUUAGGAACUCCCACAACCAUUAUUAAAGAGCUAUUAAUUCACUCUCUUCAAUUUCAAAUUCACAAGUUAAAGAAGCUUCAUUACAUUACCAACAAGAAAGAUUAUCAGUAAAUAAGCAAGAUAAUGACCAAAAUCAUGUGGGUAAUUUGUUUUUUAAAACCCUAUUGCAUAUAACCCUAACAAUUAUGCACCAUAAAUUCUCUUUAUAAAGUAAAAAAUAAGUGUAAAUGUGGUUAAUGACCUUUAGUUCGGUGAAUUUCCAGCCUUUAAUUCGGUGAUUUUGUAGCCUUUAAUGUGGUGGAUGAACUUGCAGCAGCAGGAGCAUGAACUUGCAGCAGCAGGAGCAUGAACUUGCAGCAGCAGGACAAGCGUUGUGUAUGGUAGCUCGUGAAUGCAGAUUUUGAAAUUUGAAGAAUUAAAUUGGGGUAAUUUUAUAAUUGCACAUUGAAAAAGGUAUAUAAAAAAAAUUUUGAAUUAUGGGGGUAUAGUUGGAUAAAUACCUAACCUUUAGGGUAUAGCGGGGACAAAUCCCUGGUAGUUUUCAUUAACCGACGUUGUACUGCUGGUAUGAAGUUGUUCAAAUGUUCAAAUCAGUCUCUCGCUUUCAGCUCAGUCAGAGUUUCCAGGUCCAGAGACUUCCCGCUGACUGAGAGCUUUUUUAGUAGCAGGUCUACAAAUAAAGGAAUAGAGCUGAUUUAAUGAUUAAUUUAUUUCCUUUUUCAAUUUCUUUUGAUUGCCAUUUAAUCUGGAUAAGUUAAACGUGAAUUAUUUAGUGCAGAUUAAAUGUUCGACGAAUUUCCCGCAAGAAUAUUAAGCUAAAGAGAAAAAAAGAAAACAAUUGAGCGUGAGCGGGAAUGGUGUUUGGCCAAGUGGUGAUUGGUCCGCUCGGCUCGGGAAAGACCACUUACUGCAAUGGCAUGUCUCAGUUUCUCCGCCUUGUUGGCAGGUAACUCCGUUUCUUGAUUUCAAGCAGCUUUAUCUUUGAUGGCCAAAAAAAUUGAUUUGGGCUUUGCCCAUUAAAUGAAUGUAAGAGCGGUAGGGAAUAACUGAGUUAUAGGAUUAGCUUUAAGUGAACAUUGAUGGUAACAUGCAUGUGAAUGUUGUAUGUGUUCAGCGGCAAGCUGUAUGCCAAUUUGGUCUAUAUGGUUGCUUCGGUGGUAACUUAUUAAUUUUUAUGCAGGAAGGUUGCAGUCAUCAAUUUCGAUCCUGCUAAUGAUAGUUUGCCAUAUCCUUUGUCGUUGAACUUUCUUACAAAUGCUGUGGUUUGUUGUAGUACAAUUAGUUCAAUCAGAAACUUCCUUGAUGUUAAUAUAGAUAUGAGUGUGCUGUGAAUAUUGAGGACUUCAUUAGACUAAGUGAUGUGAUGAUGGAGCAUUCACUUGGUCCCAAUGGAGGUUAGUCAGCCCAUUGUUGUUUACUCUUUCUUGCUUUAUCACGCAAUGAUAUUCCUUUGCUUUACAACAAAUUUCGUGAAAUUAACUUCAAUCAAGUGGCUAUGUUCAUACGCUGUUGAGAUUUUAUGGACAAAGAUUUGGUAGACUUUAUAUGCCGUCUUCUUUCUUUUUGCAGUGAUAUGUUUGUCUUCAAUGCACUUGUACUUGUUCUAUGGUUUCUAAAGUAGGUGUUUUUAUGAUAAACUAGGUCUUGUGUAUUGUAUGGACUAUCUAGAGAAGAAUAUUGACUGGUUGCAGUCGAAAUUGGAACCACUUUUGAAAGGUAAGAAGUGGCCAUUUUCCUUCAUUCUAAUGCCAAUAAUGCUGUCAUGAGACUCAUAAAAAUUGUUAAAAUGUUAAUGUUUUUGGUAUUUUGCAGAUCAUUAGCUUCUGUUUGAUUUUCCUGGCCAAGUUGAAUUAUUUUUUCUUCAUUCCAAUGCCAAGAAUUUUAUAAUGAGACUCAUAAAGAAGUUAAAUCUCAGUGUAUUGUUACAUCUUACGUCUAUGAAGGCACUCAAAGAGUUGAGAUGAAUUCAUCAUUGUUAUUUUGAUGCCAGAAUUGUGCAAUUCUCAGUUGCUUCCUUUCACAUGCAGUUGACUGCAGUGCAUCUAGUUGAUGCGCAUCUUGGCAGUGACCCCGGGAAGUAUGUUAGUGCUUUGCUUCUCUCAUUGUCUACGAUGCUCCAUCUGGAACUUCCCCAUGUCAAUGUCUUUUCUAAGAUCGACCUGAUUGAGAAUUAUGGAAAGCUAGGUGUGGUUUUAAGUGUAGCUCUCCUACUUGUUUGUUUAGUUUGAAAUAUCAGAUAUUGUCACAAGCUCCUAUCUGCUACGUUUCCUCACCAUUCAUUUACUUUGGGUAUGUUGCAGCUUUUAAUCUCGAGUACUAUAUGGAUGUGCAAGAUUUGUCAUAUUUACAGCAUGCCUUGGGUCAGGACCCUCGUUCUGCUAAGUACAGGUUUGAAUUCUAGCUGAAUCAAUGAUGCAAAUUAUGUCCAUUGCUAUUUCUGACUAUUGUUUCUAUCAUUUUCAAUUGUUACCUCCCCUUUCCAUCUACUGCCACACUACAAUGCCCACACAAAUAUCAUGAAAUUUUUCAAUGGAAAUGCCUUUCUGUUUGUCCAGAGACAGCUCUUAGAUGCAAGUGACCAAUUUUUGGCUUUGGCCAUGUUACAGCCUUAGAUUUCAAUUUGCCAUAUCUUGUCUCGGAAGUCAAAAGAAAGCAUAUUUGUUAGCCAAAUUUUAUUUGAAUUUCUUGUGUAACAAUGAAUGGGGGAAAAAAAAAAGUUCCUCUUUUGUUUUGAUCAGACUCAAUGAAUAAGUGGUUAAAAUGUGCCUGUACUAGAAAUAUAGAUGUGAGGUUUCAUAAAAUUUUCUUAAUCUUAAGAAAGAGUUAUCUUGAAAAGAAGAUAACAUGGAGAAUUCAACAACUAUACAGUCAUAUUGAUGUCUGUCAACUUGGGUCAUAUGGUGUUGUUUGGAUGGAGAUGUUAGGUCCCAGAUGGUAUACUUGUUAUCAAAUUCCAGUCUACUUCAUUCAUGCUUUGAUGACAUAUGCGGUGCAGCUUCUUAUCUAAGACCUGCAUAUGUUACAGUCAACAUUCUGUUCUGUAACUCAACCUCAGGAAUCUGCUUGUAUGGUGUUCUUCUAAUUUCAAAUGGAGAUAAGUAAUAUCUGUUGUUCAAAUAUAUUUUAUUUACAAGCUGUUAAUAAGUCUGCUUGCAGAAAGCUUACAAAGGAGCUGUGUGAUGUAAUAGAAGUCUACAGUCUGGUCAAUUUUUCAACCUUAGAUAUUCAGGUCAUCAGUUUCUCUUGAAUUCUUUCUUGAGUUUCUUUGAAUUAUUUGUGAAUAAGAUCUUAGUUGGCUGCUUCUCUUCAGGAUAAGGAAAGUGUGGCAAAACCUGUGAAGCUGAUAGGUAAAAGCAAUGGGUACAUCUUUGCUGGCAUGGAUGCCAGUGCAGUUGAAUUCAGCAAGAUUGCCAUUCGCGAUGUUGAUUGGGAUUAUUUCAGAUAUCCUUCUGUUCACUUAUUUUGAAUCUUGUUAUUCUCAUAUUCAUAAAACUUUUUGGUUAUUAUUAUGGUUCAUCAUAUGCAUCUACAUCUUCUAACUUGUUCGUUUGAGAAACUAAUUUUGCCGUUAGGUAGGCUUCAAGCUUGAUUCAUGCUUUUUUCAAAAAUGUACCAAAAUCAUGGAAACUUCUUUUUCCCAGAUAUUGUAUCCACACUUUUCCCAUAUAAUUGGGUCAGACAAGUUUUGCUUAACAAAGAUAUCUACAGUAGCCGAAGUGCUGGAGAAGUACAUUAAGGAUGAUGACGAUGUUAACUAAAAUGGGACGUGAAGAUAUGUGGUGUGCAAACCGUAAGCCUGCCUCUUAUUUUUGUGCAUGUUUACUUGCUUGUGAUUCACGUUUGUUAAUCUAUUUUGCUCUCUUGCAGGAGUUAUAAAGUUUUCAAUCAAUCAAACAUUUUAACUUAAGUCCUUAGCUCUUCACGGCUUGAAUGGGUCAGAUAGGACAAGCGCCGAAGAGGUGGUUUUAAUCAAACCCCUCCUAAUUAUGAUGUAUGGCCCGAAUCUCGGACUUUUUUUACAAUAUCAAGCGAUUUUUUUUAGUUGAAUCGGCUAGUGUACACAAAUGUCGAUUAUUGAUUUUUCUUUAGUAUUGUUUGUAAUUACAAGAAACGAAGUAAUGAAAUUUAUCAGUGCGUUCAUAGUUACGCUUAAGCUCAAAGAUUACCGUCAAGAUCAUCAACCUGCUGAUGAUCUGAAGCUUCCAUAGAAAAAGGAACCGGACAAAACCCAAGAGAGAGAACAAAAAUAAAUUAAUUAAAAAAAAAGAAGAAAAAUUGCCAAAGCUACUGGUCAGUUGACAUCAAUCUUUUGCACGUGGGAUGGAAAUGGAACACUGGGCACUUUGGAUGACUCAUAACUCACAAGAGAGCAUCGAAUUUAGGCCGAAUCAUAUAAAGUACGCUAAGCCUUAGUGCGUGCGCUGUUGCGUUGCUGUGUCUGCCGGUGAGAAUAAUUUUUCGUUUUUAAGGUAAUUUUCAUUUAUUUAUUUAUUUUUUUGGUGCAUAUGGUCGAACACUUGGUGGGCACCUCAGUUUUUGGAAUGUUCUCUUCAAUGAAUACAGGGAAAAAGGGACAAAAAUUAAGAACUUUAUUUUGUUCGCGUGGAAUCGAUAUCUGGAUUGGGAUUGUAUGUCGUGUUUAAUUUGAAUUGGUUGAUUCCUCUAAUGAAUUAUUUGAUAAAUUUAGUAGCAGUAUUUGGUGGCAAAAGUAUCAUUAAUUUUUGGAAAUAUGAUUAUAUUAUUAAUUAUUUUAGCAUUCUAAAAAGUCAAUGGUUAUGUUGGAAAUACUCUAAGGUAGACUAGAGUACAAAUCACAAUCACACAUAAAAAGUGAUAAAUAAUAAAAAAUAUAUUAUAUUUUUGAUCAUAUGAUUAUGAAGAUGUAUUUUACCUUAAAGAAGUUAUAAUAAGCGAAUUCUUUUAAAAAAGAAUAAAAUUUCUUUUUUAUCAUACUCAACCGCUUCAAACUUCUAAGAAGUAGAUAUACAAUGAGUGGAAUACUGAAUUGAGUGCGAGCUGCGGAUAACAUAUAAAAUUGGGAUACAAGCUUCAAAGAAAGUGUAUUGCUAUUCAAAUGUAGAUUUCAAAUUAAGAAGAUAUGCCAGCAAAUUGUAUAAAAAUGUAUAAAUUGAUCAGUAACAUUAAUUCCAAAUGAUGAAAUGAGUUAUCUUGAUCAAAAGGUCAAGAACCUACCUUACUUCUCUUAGAGAUAACUUGCAUCAACCGUUGUGGUAUUGAUACUUGUCUUCAGCUAGUAAAAGUGAAAGUUUCACAAUUGAAAUAAAGCUAAGGGAAGAUGCUAUGCUCCAUUUAUUAUUAUUAUUAUUGACGUGGUCGAGAAGUAAAGCCGUGCAUAUGAUGAAGUAUAAAUAAGAAUGCAAUAGCCCGGAAUUCAUUUACACAAACACUUCAAUAUCCUUUUGAUCACUUUUGCAAACAUCAAUUUGUCUCCUCUUGUAUUCACCAUGGUUGAUGCCAUCGUUUCCACUGUCUUGGAGCAGCUGAUUUCCUUCGCUGCUAAAGAGAUAAAGCAACAGGUGAUCGAAGUUACACCCGCAUAUUAUAAACACUUCUAAUGAUUUUAGUUGGUUUCCUUUUUAUCGAAAACAUUAUUUUUGCUUUAUUUUAUUUAUUUGGCAAUUUUAAAUUUGGAAAUUUGAAUUGAAUUUAAUUAAAAUGUGAUGUAGUUAGUAACCACUUAUUUUUAUUUUAUUUCAUUUAUAUUCUCAAUAACUACUCAUAUUUUGGUAACUUACUAUAACUUCCAUAUCUAAGAAAUUAUCAAAACCCACAAUUUUAACUCAGCACGAAUAUUCAAUGGUGAUCUAAGCUUUUGCAGAACACUCAAGUUUGUCAAACAUUCAUUAAUUCAAUGUUUAGUGAAAAAAACUCUUCUCAGCACAGAAUUCCAUGUCCAUUACUUAGGCUCUCUGAAAAAUUUCAUAAUUUUCAUACAUUCUUUGAGUUUGGUAAGUGAUUUCAUAUAAUUUCUUUUCAAGUUAAAUUUUAAUUUGGCUUCUGAUAUAGUCUCUUUGUUGAAUUUGUAUCUCUUAUGAUUCUUAGAUUUUGGGCUCCAACUUUUGAGGAUAUGAUAGUCACAUUUUAUGCUAUGCUCAGAUUGAUUUUUAUGAUUUUUUGUUCCCGUUAAGUGACUUAGAAUUUGACAAAAGUUUGAUAGGAAAUCUGUUUCACGAUUUUGUUUUAAUUGACCUUUUAGUGGAAAUAAGAUGCUUAUAACUUAAUGUGGAUGGUUUGUAAAAUCAUGAAAUUUGGAUAAUAUAAAUUUGUACGAGACUCUCCAUAAUAUUUCAUGAUUUUUCAUUAGCUCUGGGGUGUUACAGGUGCUACUUGUGACUGGUGUCAAAAAAGAAGUGAAAAAAAUUACCAACCACCUUCAAGCCAUUCAAGCUGUGCUCGAGGAUGCAGAGGAAAAGCAAGUGACGGAAACAGCUGUCAGACUUUGGCUGGGUAGGCUCAAGUCCGCAUCCUACGACAUUGAAGAUGUGUUGGAUGAGUGGAUCACAGCAAGAGGCAAAUUGCAAAUUAAGGGCAGCGUUUAUGACAAUGCUCUUGUUGCUCCUAAUCAGAAGAAGAAGGUAUGUUCCUGCUUUCCUGCCUCUUGCUUUGGUUUCAAACAAGUCAUUUUGCAUCGUGACGUAGCUGUCAAGAUCAAAGAAAUCAAUGAAGAGCUGGACGAUAUUGCCACUCAAAAAGACAUGUUUAAAUUUGUUGGGAGUGUCAGUAAAAGUAGUGAAAGACCAAGACGUGUGCAGAGUACCUCCUUGAUUGAUGAGGAAGAGAUUUGUGGUAGAGUUGGUGAGAGGGAUGCACUCUUAAGCAUGCUGUUGUGUGAGAGCAGUGAGCAACAAAAAGGCCUUCAUAUCAUCUCAAUUGUUGGUAUGGGAGGCAUCGGGAAAACUACUCUUGCACAACUAGCUUGUAAUCAUGACAAGGUGAAGAGUCAGUUCGACAAAAUUUUAUGGGUGUGUGUAUCAGAAACUUUUGAUGAGUUUAGGAUUGCCAAAGCGAUGCUUGAAGCUUUGACUGGUUCAACUUCUAAUUUAGAUGCAUUGCAAUCUCUUCUUAUAAGUAUUGACGAAUCUAUUGCGGGAAAGAGGUUUCUUCUUGUCUUAGAUGAUGUGUGGGACGGAGAUUACAUUAAAUGGGAACCAUUCUACCGUUGCCUAAAGAAAGGUCUCCAUGGAAGUAAAAUUGUAAUUACCACACGUAAUGAGUCAAUUGCCAGCAUGAUGAGAUCCGCAGAUAUUAUCUCUAUCAAGGAAUUGGCUGAAGAAGAAUGUUGGGCAUUGUUUAAGCAGUUAGCAUUUUUCGGUCGAUCCACUGAGGAGUGUGAAAAAUUGGAACAAAUUGGUCAAAGAAUUGCAAGAAAGUGUAAAGGUUUACCUCUUGCUGCAAAGACAAUGGGAAGUCUCAUGAGCUCUAAAAAAACUGAAGAAGAGUGGAAAAGAAUUUUAAAUAGUGAUUUAUGGAAGGUAGAAGAGAUUGAGAAAGGUGUUCUAACCCCUUUGUGGUUGAGUUAUAACGAUUUGCCAUCUAGAGUAAAAAGAUGUUUCUCGUAUUGUGCUGUCUUUCCAAAAGACUACAAUAUAGAAAAAGACAAACUAAUUACUUUGUGGAUGGCUCAAGGUUAUCUUAGUGCAGAAGCAGCAGAACAAGAUGAGGAGUUGGAGACUAUAGGUGAAGAGUAUUUUGGCAUCUUAGCUUCUCGCUCUUUCUUUCAAGAGUUUGAGAAACGUUAUGAUAAUCGUAUUAUAGCGUGCAAGAUGCAUGAUAUGGUACAUGAUUUUGCCCAAUUUGUUAGUCAAAAUGAAUGUUUUUCGUUGGAAGUUAAUGGUAGUGAGGAACUAAACGUCACAAACUCUACAAACUCUCUUGAUGAGAAGGUCCGUCAUUUAAUGUUAAUCUUUAGUAAAGGGACUUCAUUACCUGUUUCCACUCGUAGAGUUAAAAGAAUGCGUACCCUCUUAAUUAACGAUAGUAGAUCUGAUCAUUCAUUAUUAAAUGGUGAGAUCCUAGAAGAAUUAUUUAGGGAAUUGACAAGUUUAAGGGCAUUAGAUUUUGGCAAAUCGUAUAACUCAAGUUGGUCUUCGACUGUGGAGAUUCCGAGAACCAUAGAAAAGCUGGUACAUUUAAGGUACCUGAAUUUGUUUUAUCAGGGAAUAAAGAAACUACCGGAGACAUUAUGCGAGUUGUAUAAUCUAGAAAAGUUAGAUAUUAGUAUAUGUUUUAAUCUUAAAGAAUUACCUGAAGGGAUUGGGAAGUUAAUAAACAUGAAGCAUUUACGAAAUAGAGGUACUAGUUCUUUAAGGUACAUGCCAGUAGGGAUUGGGAGAUUAACGGGUCUCAGGACCUUGGAUGAGUUCCACGUGAGUGGAGGAGGAGGUGUUGAUUGUAGGAAAGCAUGUAGGCUUGAAUCUCUCAAAAACUUGGAAAACCUUCGAGUGUGUGGUAUACGUAGACUGGGUGAUGUAUCAGAUGUGGGCGAGGCUAAGCGAUUAGAACUUGACAAAAAGAAAUACCUCUCUUGUUUGAGACUUCGGUUUGAUAAGAAGGAGGAAGAAGAAGGAGAAAGAAGGAAGAACGAGGACGAUCAACUUCUUCUUGAAGCCCUACAACCACCUCUCAAUUUAAAGGAAUUAGAGAUAGAGUACUACCGAGGCAACACUGUUUUCCCCAGCUGGAUGACGUCAUUAACCAACUUAAAGAGUUUAGAUCUCUCUUCCUGCGAAAAUUGCGAGCAGCUGCCUCCUUUGGGAAAAUUGCCAUCCCUUGAAGCACUCAGCCUAUGGGACAUGAAGUGUGUGGAAAGAGUGGGUGAUGAAUUUUUGGGGAUAGAAAGUGAUCAUCAUGGCUCAUCUUCAUCGGUUAUUAUUGCCUUCCCCAAAUUGAAAUCACUUUCAAUUGAGUUUCUGCGCGAAUUGGAGGAGUGGGAUUAUGGGAUUACAAGAACGGGAAACACCGUCAUCAACAUCAUGCCACGUCUUUCUUCCUUGACAAUUGCUCAUUGCCCCAAAUUAAUGGCACUGCCCGACCACUUUCAUCAAACAACAACAUUGAAGGAAUUGCACAUUUGGGAGUGCAGGCUUCUGGAAGAACGUUACCGCAAAGGGGAAGGAGAAGACUGGCCUAAGAUAUCACACAUUCCCAACCUCCGUAUUGGGCUUUGACAAGUAAUUUCUUCUCUUACUCUGAUUUGCUUUGUUGUUGUUUUUAAUCUAAUUAAGAAGCGUAAAUAGCAUUUUGAAUCAAACUCUAUAUCAGAAAUCUGCAAUACUUACUUUCUAAUAUUCUGAUUUUCAUAUCCUAUGAAUAUACAAUUUUUAAUUUGUGAGAUGGGUAACGUUACUGUAAAAGAUUAUUAAUGCAAUAUGAGUAAUUCUUUUGCAGGACAAGUGACCUACAUUUAGUUUGGCUUUGGAGUUGAAUAAUAACCUUUCGAGGUCCCGACAACCAAAAAACGAAGCUUAAUUUGCCACAGAUUGCACGUAUUGCCAUUAUUGACAAUUUUCUGCACAAGCUUAGGUUGAUUUCAAAAGAGGUAAAUUAUUGGCAUGCCUGACUAUUUUGACCAUUACAUGAUUCAUAAGUUUACAUUAAUUUUGAUUUUGAGUUGAGUGAUUAGUUUUUAUACCCGGAAUAUGCAAAAGUUUCUAAUAUUUUAUUUCCAUCUGUUACAAGAUCAAACUGAAGUAGAACUCAAACAAAAGUAUGCUACUUCUUGCGGAAAUCUUGCCUUUGUUCAGAUUAUGAAACCAUUUCCAUGCAGCAAAUUCAUCCAAAAGUUUGAAUAAGUUUCAUGGUUGGACACUGUUGGCUUCUUUUUCUUCUGGGGUGCAUUUAGGUGCUAUCAAGUGACAGCUAAGUAUGAUUGCACUAAGCUGCCGCUGGGAAAUUUGAGGUUUUGAUGGCUGCCCAUGUUAUUUUCAAGAAACUAUUGAUGUAAGAAGCUGUGGUUCUUUUCAUCAGCUUGAACCUGAAACUGUCGCUAUGGAUAACUCAGGUUUUUGUUAUCAACUAUGUUGAUGCGAGAUUCCGGUUCUCCUCGUUCUACGACCAGGAUCUCUGCUCGAUCAACUUCACCACGACCAGGAGGUCUCCUAGUAAUGCUUCUUCUCCAGAUGUCCCUGCACACACAGACAAGUCAGAGUACGCCGGUUGUUCUCCCGGCGCAAACCCUCCGACGCUCAAGUCAGAUAUGAAGGUUCGGGGAACGCUUGCCACAGGUCUUAUGGCUUUUUCGUGGUUUUCUCUUUUAUCUCAAAAAUGCUAACCCUUUUACCUUCGUUGGCUACCUUUUUAUAGGCUUCCUCUGAAUCCCAGUUUUCCGCUUUUUUCGAGACGGUCUGGGGCUCUGACUGCUGCGUUAUGGGCAAACGUGGGAUCUUGCGUGUUACGCCACGGUUCAGGGGAAAGCGUGGCUGUCGUGGUUCUGUGAGAUCUUGUGUGUUACGCCACGGUUCAGGGGAAAGCGUGGCUGUCGUGGUUCUGUGAGAUCUUGCGUGUUACGCCACGGUUCAGGGGAAAGCGUGGCUGUCGUGGUUCUGUGAGAUCUUGCGUGUUACGCCACGGUUCAGGGGAAAGCGUGGCUGUCGUGCCUAGAUUCUUGGGCUGGAGAGUAUGUCUUGCCAACUGCCGUCGACCGGGUCUCCUCGCCUCUCGACCUCUAGCCGGAAUGGCCUUAUGCCUCUUAUAGGAAAUUGGCCUAGCGGAUGACAACAUCGUGGACGAGCAGGAUACUUCUGCUCCUGUUCUGAUGGCUGCCCAUGUUAUUAACACACCGGUUCACAGAACUCCGCUGUGGUUCUUUUCAUCAGCCUGGUCUCGUCGACGUAUUUAUGGAUAACUCAGGUUUUUGUUACAAACUAUAUCAUCUUUUUCACUAUUUUGAAACUCUUAAGAUUAAACUUUAGUAAAGUUGUUUCAGCUAUUCAAAUGAAAAACUCAUUGAUUUGAGACUUCCUUCAUUAUUGUUUCUAAUUACAGUGCUAACGAUCCAGAUAAAAUAAUAUUUAAUCGGCGAAGGUGUCCCUUGGAAGUACAUCCUUCUUUUUCUUUUAUUAUAUAAAUUCUUGCAAUGAGCUUAGUGAAGCUGUUGUGCUAAUCAUGCCACUGCAUAACUUGGCCCCUAAUGUGGGUACUCUGUUACAUUGUUCUGCAAAUUCUCCAGAAGUUAAAAUCAAUAAAUUUUCUAUUAGCUCUAGUGCUUUGACCUAAAUGCUAUUCUAUAUUCUGAUUACAAUGUUUUAACCUUUAAAUUAACUACCCCUAGAUGUUGGAUUUUCUAGAACUUCAAAAUGAUUAAUGGAGAAAGAUCCCAUUAUCGUUAUUGCUAUAAGAAAUUGAUUUAUGCAUCCAAAGAUACAUUAUAUAUUUCUGUGUCUCUAUUUAUGGAUGACAUUUAAUCAUCCAUAAACUGUCAGACAGAGGAAGGGGGUUCAGUGCAAAGAUUCUGUUGACCUAGGGUUGACUGCAUAUGUCACUUGUUCGCAAUCUAUUAUUUAUUUUAUAUUUUGAAGAAUUUAAUGGGUAAUCCUAAUUGUUUGUUUUGGCAGGUUUGUGUUGUUAUCUCCUUCUAUCUUACAGUCGUACCUAAAUAGCAUAGUUUCAUCUGUGUUACCAUGUGAUGUACAUAAUUUCACAUUUGCCUCAGAUUAAGCUUAAUUUCCCACAGAAUAGAGCUGUCGCGACUGGACUUAGGUUGAUGUCCAAAGAGGUAAAUUAUUGGCAUGCCUAGAUAAUUUGGCCAUUUCCUAAUUCAUAAGUCUACAUUAAUUUUGAUUUUGAGUUGACUGAUUUCUUUUCAAGGUCUGCUUCCUUAACGGAGUGACCAAUGUUUUUCAACUAAAUUUAUCAUAUGAUGCAGGAAGCAGGGCAGGAUAUGAAAUGAGAAGCUCAUUGGUGGAAGUAUUUCCAGUAGCAGAACCCAAUGAAAAUGAAACUAUUUCAAGGCAGCAGUUGGCAGUUGCAAGUGAAUGGAGGCCCUGACAAAAUUCUCAAGCGGUUGCAAUGCAAUUACGAUCAUCCUCAGCCUCAGGUAAUUUCUUCUCCUGCUCUGUUUUUAUCUGUUAUCUAAUUAAAAAGCAUAAAGUAUCUUGAAUCACUUUCUGUAUCUGGAAUAUAUGCAGCAGUUUCUAAAAUCUUCAUAUGAGUGUAAUGAUGGUAAUUUCUGUUUUUUGUCUGUCUUUGAAUGUUAGACAACUUUCAGUGAGACUCUUGAACCGAGACAUUUUUGACAAAUGAAGGACAAUUGCUGAAGAGUGGGAAUGGUGCUAGAUUGGGGAAUAAAGACAAAGGAGGUAAAUUAUUUGCAGUUUAUUCAGCAUUAUUUGCUUUGGACCAGCGCCUGAUUCACAAGUCUCCAUAAUUUGGCUUUUGACCAGUUGUUAAUAAAUUUUUUUAUUCCAUUGGUGCUAAAUGUACACGUGAAGCAGGCAGAGCAGGACUGUGGAAAUGAGAAGGUUUUUAGUGAAAGCUUAAACUCAGGUAAUUCUAAAAAGUACAUGUUUUUGCUGAUUUAUCUAAAUCAGGAAAUUUUAUUUCCAUCUGUUACAAGAUAAAACAGAAACAGAACACAAAGAAAAAUAUUCUACUUCGUGUGGCAAUCUUGCCUUCAUUCAGACAAUGAAACCAUUUCCUUUCACCAAUUUCUUCCAAAAGUUUGAAUAAGUUUCAUGGUUGGACAUAGUUAGCUUCUUUUUCUUUUGGUGCAUUUAGGUCCUAUCAAGUGACAGCCAUAAGUAUGAUUGCAUUAUCGGGAAAUUUUAGAUUUCGAUGGCUCCCCAUGUUAUUGCCAAGAAAGUCCUCAUGUCAGAAGCUGCGGUUCUUUUCAUCAGCCUGAACCCGAACCUGUCGUUAUGGAUAACUCAGGUUUUUGUCAUCAACUAUAUCAUCUUUUUUACUGUUUUGAAACUCUUAAGAUUAAACUUCAGUAAAGUUGUUUCAGUUAUCCAUGUAAUCAGGCUAAGGAUAUUUAGCAGCUUAUUUAGGCAACUGCCAGAAUUCAGUUUGUUCGCUCGAAACUUGUAUGGUGACAAGGAUACUGGCAAGGAUAGUGAGAUAGUUUUUUGUGUGAGUGAAAUUUGAAAGCUUGGGUGUUCUGGGAUUUGCAAUUGCAAUCAUCCUCUGAGUCAGGUGAUUUCUUCUUCUGCUCUGUCUUUAUUUUCUCUCUAAUUGAAAGCAUAAAGUAUUUCAAUCAAAUUCUGUACCAGGAAUACGUAAAAGUUACUAAUAUUUUAUUUCCAUCUGUUUGCAUAGAUAACUUGGCGGCAUAUGUUCUAGUUAAAGAACAAACAGAAACAGAGUUCAGGAAAAAGUUUCUUCGGCCACCAUAUUUGAAAAUGAAACCAUUUCCAGGAAGCAGUUGGCAGCAAAUUCAUAUGGAGUGUAGACAAUGAUGAGCAAAAAGGUGAUUCGCAAUUUCUUUUUUUUUUUAAGUGAAAUUAUUUGUUAGAUUGAAGCUGAUAUUGUAAGAAGGCCAUUGAGCUAACCUAUGUCGCCACUUGCCUAGAUUGCAGGGGGUCAAGACUCAAAAGAAGCACUGAAAUUUAAAAAGCAUGCAAUAGUUCUUUUACCAUGUGUCAAUUAAUGCAAGUUUGAAUAAGUUUAUUGGCUGAACGAUGUUAGCUUCUUUUCCUUUCGUGCACUUUGGUAUGCUAUCAAGUGACAGCCGUAUGUAUGGCUUGCAUAUAGCUGCUGCUGGGAAAAUUGACGAUUUCAUGGCUGGCCGUGUUAUUGUCUUAAAUUAGUUGUGAUAAGCUGUUGCUUGGAGAUUCUGUUGCCAAGACUUUGCUCACAUCAGAAGCUGUGGAAUCUGAACCCUUCGUUAUGUAUCAUCUUUUUCAUUGUUUUAAAACUCUCAGGAUUAAACUUGAGCGAAUUUGUUCGGUUGUCUAUAUAAUCAUGUAUUGAGUAAACUCUCAGGAUACUGAGCAGGCAAAUGUUAUAACUCGGUUUGUUAGCCAAAAACUUGUUGAAGAUUCUUGACAAAGCUGCAUCAAGUGAAUUGUCGGAGCUCUGAGGGUGAGAGAAAUUAGAGGAUUUGGAUUUGUUAGGAAGUUAUCAUAUUUAUUUUUAUUUUUUUAUUUUUCCCAGAAAAUCUUCUGGUGGUGCUAUAUUUUCAAACGACAGUCCGAUUCAAAACUUGAUAUUCCAAUUAUAUUCAUAAGCUUCUAUAGUUAUCUUCAAAAAGACAAAUGGAAGGCUUUGAACGGCUUGGGUCUGAGUAUUGUAGUUUGAUUUAUUUUGAUGAAAGUACCUUUUGACAUUGAGAUUCUUUCUUGAGUUAAACAUUCUUUUUAAAACCAACUUAUUAAAAAAAAAGUAACUAACAUAUAUUAUUUUGUUAGUGCUUUUUAAAUCAAAUAUAAAAAAGAGAACUGUAAUUCUUAGCAACCAAUUUUUCACUGAGUACAGCUACAACAAACUAUUAAAAAAUAAAGUGAUAGAAAAUGCCUGAUUUUUCGUACUUUCUAAUUACUUUUGGUCCUAAAAUAUGGCGAUUUGUGUAAUAAUAAGCCCAUGUAUAUCUUUAUGCCAUUAGUUUGAUAAAUAGCUAUCAAGGAUAACUUAUUAAGCUAAAAAUAUUUGAAGGAUAAAUUGGUAAAACUAAAAGGGUGGAGUAAUAAAACAACAGCUGCAGAUCUCGAAUGCAUCUUCAUUACAGUAUGUUCCAAGGAAGUGUAAUGCCAUAGCUCAUGCUAUAGCAAAAGUGGCUCUGGAUUUUGAGAAUUCUGUUAUAUGGCUGGAAGAGUUUCCAGUCCAGAUCAUGAUGUUACUCUCAAAUUUUAUCAAUUAGAAAGCUUUACUUUCUUUUCAAAAAAAAAAAAAAAAACAAGAAUUUCCAAUUACCUGCAAAGUCAGCUGCGAAGUUAACUCCUGAGCUGAGAAGGUGGCCUAGCAAAGUCUCUGGGCCCAAUAAAAAUGUGCUUUUUGCAGUAAAACAGUGUGUCCGUGGGAGAAGGUAGCAGCGGAAAACCAAGCCUCUCACAAGACAUGUUUCAAGUGCUCACAUGGUGGUUAUUCCAUUAGCCCGUCAAAUUACGCAGCCCUAGAAGGCAUCUUGUAUUGCAAACAUAAUUUCUCCCAAUUGUUCAAGGAAGAAGGCAGCUACAACCACCUUAUAUCAAAUCUGCUUCCAUGAAGCGUGCUGCAGUCUCUGUUCAAGAAGCUUGAACAUGUUAUGUUAUCUUCCAUAAAUCUUAUUUGGCGUGGGUUUUCUCUGGCUUGAGGGUGUGCUUUCUAUUUUGAUCCCUCUUGUUGUUUUUGCGGGGAACUACCAAACCUUCGGUUCCCUCUGCUUCUUUGGAUCAUCUUUGUUGGGACAAAUUUCAUGUAAUUAGAGAUACUGAUUUAUGGGAGGCAUAAUCCCAUGGUCGUAAAUUGACCAUUUUCUGGCAAUGUUCUUUUUAAAAAGAGAUGAGCAGUUGUUUAAAAAAAAAAAAAAAUAGCUUGCCUUCAUCAUUGUAUGUUACCAAAGUGCUAUGUAUAGCUGCUGACUAUGAGCAUCCGAAAAUGGUGCAUCGUGAUUCAUGUAGUGCAAUAUGGCUACCAACGCAUCCUAAAUGGAGUAUUACUCAGUUAGGGUGUGUUUGGGAUUGAGGUUCUGUAGCUUUUAAGCUACAGCUGUUGUGAAAAAAAAGCUGUAAUUAUGAAACAAAAGUUAAUAAUAUAUAGUAAAUAUAAAUUUUAAAUAAUAAUUUUGAUAAGAUUAUUAAAGAUAUAAUAAAUUUUAUAUUAUACAAGUGAAAAAUAAUAUCAACAUAGCUUAAAAGCUACAGCAGUUAGUGUUUACCAAACACUUUAGUGCUGUAGUUUUUAAGCUAUAACUGCCCAACCUCAAUCCCAAACGCACCCUUAGUCAGCAAAAUAAGACAACAUAACUGAUAUUAAAAAAAAAACUACAUUAAUAAGUGGGCAAGAUCAUGCCAGUUUAACUUUUCGCGCGUCGCUGCUGGAGAUAAUCAAAUCAGGGCAGAGAAAAGGAGAAUGGAAUCAGAGGCUAAGAUUAAUAAGUGGGCUUCUGCUUGCUUUGCCCCUCUUUCUUAAACGAUUGGUAGACUGCUGCUUCCACCGAUUAACCGGGUCUUCAACCACUGCUUUUACUGCCUGCCAUCUUGUUGUUUGUCGAAGGGAUGAAUUCGAUUCGAAAAGAGAAAGCGCGCUGAAAAAGAUAAAUCACUAGUGGUUAACUGCUGACUCAGCCAAGUGUUGGCUUCACUUGAUUCACCGAUUGAGGUUAUUUUGUCUUCUAUCUAAUGCAGCGAAGAAGCUUUGCUGCUUAACAUGCUGCAAUGCAACUUUAUCCUUUGAAGUUCACACUUCAGGGCUGGGCACUUUAUGUAAUCCUAUGAGUAAAAAGAAUUUGUUUUCAAAUGUGAAAAAAGAAAAUGUAAGGUAGUAACUAAAUAUAUUAUAGCAUCCAAGCAAGAUUUGAUAUGAAUUUAGUACAACAAAGAACAUCAAAUCUGUGAUUCCUUGUCUAAUGUCACCAUCGAGCAACAAAUUUAAAAGCCUACCUAUCAAAUACACGAGGCAAUAAACGGAGAAAAAUUUGAAUUACAAGAACAAGUUUACAAUUCUUGUCAAUGGUUAAUGAUUCGUGAACUGAGAUAGCAUUCAAGAAUCCAAUUUCAAUACAACAACGUAAAAGAUAAACAGAUGAUGAAUUUAUGAGAUAAAGAAGGAGAUCAUGUUUUAUCGUAUCUCUAUUUUCUUUCUUUUUAAAUUUAAAAUAAGCUUUUCAACCGGUUUGUUAACCGGUUAUAAUAUUUUUUUAAAAUAAUUAAAUAUUUUCAUUAUUAAAAAUAAUGUGUACCGUUGAUUAUAUCUAACGGUACAUAUUUCUUACACUACUAAUACCGUAAAAAAAAAUACAGCAUCAUAGAGGGACCCUUAAAACAUUUUCAUUUGAAAUUAUUUGGUGUAGUAAAAAAGUUAAGAAAGAAAUAGUUGUCCCUUUGGUCAUUUCACAAAAAUGAAAGCCCCAUAAAAGAUAAACAGAUGAUGAAUUUUAUGAGAUAAAGAAGGAGAUCGUGUUUUAUCGUAUCUCUAUUUUCUUUCUUUUUAAAUUUAUGAGAUAAAGCGGUUGGUCCAGUUACGGUGUUAUGCUAACGGGUUUAAAGGUUCCGAUCCAAUGAGUUAGGGUGGAAUAUGAAUAUAUAAAUUCCAUAGCUAAGGACUAGGAUUUGUUUGUUCAUAUCAAGAAAAAAGAUCUGAAAAUUUGAUGAUCAGAAGAUAAAAACACUUAAACACGUUUAUUUCAGAGAAACAAACGACAACAUGAUACUAGUAGUAGUUAUUCUUUUCAUCCGAUAUAUUACAUUGUAAUAUCACUACUCGUUCCACUGGUUUCAUAUACACCAUCGACCAGCAACAUGAUAAUUUCGUGUCAGUUCAUUUUGUUUGUAGGAAAGAGCAGUGUAUUUCUUAGAGCUUGAAAAUAAUAAAAAGAUUUUAAAAUAUAAAUUGCAUAUUUGUUUAUUACUGUUGUUUGGUCUAAUUUCUUAUGUAGAAUUGCUUGUCAUUCUUUGGACGUUAUUGAUUAUAUUUUUGUCAGACUUGGCGUAUACAUUCACAUACGUUUUAUUUUGUCAUUUUGUAGAACAUUUUUACACGCCAUAUUAUCACGACUCUUCUGUGUCUGAAUAAGAAGAAAGCAUAAUGCGACCCUCCAACAGCUUAAUCUAUGGAAUUAUCGUGUUUUGUAAGUUGAGGUCCAAUGGCGUUUUGGCACAUCAUAUGAUAGACCACUAUAUUGCGUUGCUUUACAAAAGAUUAAUAUUUUUAAAAUUAUUAACUCAUGAUAUGAUAGUCCAGGUUUUCGAGGACCACUAUAUUGUAUUGAUUUUUAAAAAAAAUUAAUAUUUUUUAAUAUUAAUAUUCUAAAUUAUAUUCAGUUAAAAUAUUAAAUAUUAAAUACAUUCUUAAUAUUAAUACUCUUAGAUGAAAUUCUUUUGCUGACUUAAGAAUAAAAUAUUAAAUAAUUUUAUUUUUCUUUUAUUGUGUAACGUGGACCCAAAAAAAAAAGGAAAUGAAUUUAAUAAAACCUUCCUUCCGCCACCAUGCAUGUUAAUUGUUUCCAAAUUCCAACCUCCGUACUCUCUUGAGGAGUUUCCCAUUCAUCAAUUAUUAUUUUUUAUAAUCCAUACCAUCCUGAUAUAAUUAAACACCAUUAAUAAUGUACCAGCCUUUAAAUAGUAAUUUAUUUAUUUAUCUAAUUCACCAAAUGUCAUUUCCUGUACAUAUCUCCAUUGGUAUCAAGAAGAAGCAGAACCCAAAGAAACGUUUCUUGCAUCUUCAUAUUUGUGCGAAUUCAUCCUUUCAUUGAGAAUAACCAUUUCCAGGCAGCAGUUGCCAAUCAAUUCAUGCGCACGUCGAUGCUAUUCAUAGAUAUUAAAGACAAUGAUGAACCAAAGGUGAUAAAUCAUAAAUGCAUAAUUACCAAACCUCCAUCCUUCUCUCAUUAUGAUUUGAUUUUAAAUGAAUUAUUGCUUGGUAACAUUAUUUCCAACCAUUGCAAGAUUUUUUUUGGAGAAAUUUUAAUUGAAAGUAAAACCUUUAGACAUUUACCUAAUGAAGUUAGUUAAUCGGGAGGGUGGAAAAAAAAAAGUUGACGCAAGUCAAUACACAAUAAUUAAUCAAAUCCGGAGUGACUAAAACAGAGCCACUACUUUUUUAAAAAUAUCUGCCUUCAUCACUUUCUCCAGCAGCUAGUCAGCUACACACGAGUCAAUUUCUCUCCUCGAUUGUCAUCCAAAAUUAUUCACCAAUACCAUGGCUGAUGCAAUCGUUUCCACUAUCUUGGAGCAGCUGAUUUCCUUCGCUGCUGAAGAGAUAAAACAACAGGUGAUCGAAGUUACACCCCUCAGAUUACAAAUACUUCCAAUGAUUUUAUUUGGUUUUGCUUUUAUCAAAAACAUUAUAUAUUUUUGCUUUAUUUUAUUUAUCUGGUAAUUUUAGAUUUUGAAAUUUGAAUUGAAUUUAAUUAAAAGGUGAUGUAGUAACCACUUAUUUUUAUUUUAUCUCAUUUAUAUUCUCAAUAACUACUCAUAUUUUGGUAACUUACUAUAACUUCCAUAUCUAAGAAAUGAUCCAAACCCACAAUUUUAACUCAGCACGAAUAUUCAAUGGUGAUCUAAGCUUUUGCAGAACACUCAAGUUUGUCAAACAGUCAUUAAUUCAAUGUUUAGUAAAAAAAACACUUCUCAGCACAGAAUUCCAUGUCCAUUACUUAGACUCUAUGAAAAAUUUCAUAAUUUUCUCACAUUAUUUGAGUUUGGUAAGUGAUUUCAUAUAAUUUCUUUUCAAUAUAAAUUUUAAUUUGGUUUCUUAUAUACUCUCUUUGCUGAAUUUGUAUCUUUUAUGAUUCUUAGAUUUUGGGCUCUAACUUUUUAGGAUUUGAUAGUCACAUUUUAUGCCAUGCUUAAAUUGAUUUUCAUGAUUUUUACUACCCGUUAAGUGACUUAGAAUUUGACAAAAGUUUGAAAGGAAAUCUACUUCAGGAUUCUGUUUUAAUUGACCUUUUAGUGGAAAUAAGAUGCUUAUAACUUAAUGUGGAUGUACAAGACUCUCCAUGAAGUCUCAUAAUUUUUCAUUCGGUCUGGGGUGUUACAGGUGAAGCUUGUGGUUGGUGUCGAAAAAGAAGUGAAAAGCCUUACCGGCCACCUUCAAGCCAUUCAAGCUGUGCUCGAUGAUGCCGAGGAAAAGCAAGUGAAGGACAAAGCUGUUAGUCUUUGGCUAGGUAGGCUCAAGUACGCAUCCUACGACAUUGAAGAUGCGUUGGAUGAAUGGAUCACAGGAAGACGCAAAUAGCAAAUUGAGGGUGGCAUUGGUGAAAAUGCUCUUAUUGCUCCUCAUAAGAAAAAGAAGGUACGUUUCUGCUUUCGUGCCUCUUGUCUUGGAUUCAAACAAGAAGAAUUUGGCUUCAAACAAGUCUUUCUACGUCAUGACAUUGCUGACAAGAUCAAAGAAAUCAAUGAAGAGCUACGUAAUAUUGCCACUCAAAGAGACAUGUUUAAAUCUGAGAGUGGCAGUAAAAGUAGUGAAAGACCCAGGCGUGUACAGAGUACCUCCUUGAUUGAUGAGGAAGAGAUUUGUGGUAGAGUUGGUGAGAGGAAUGAACUCUUAAGCAUGCUGUUGUGUGAGAGUAGGGAGCAACAAAAAGGCCUUCAUAUCAUCUCAAUCGUUGGUAUGGGAGGCAUAGGAAAAACAACUCUUGCACAACUAGCAUGUAAUCAUGUUGAGGUGAAGAGAAAGUUUGACAAACUUUUAUGGGUGUGUGUAUCGGACCCUUGUGAGCAGUUUAGGAUUGCCAAAGCGAUCGCUGAAGCUUUAGGCAUUCCCUCUUCUAAUUUAGGUGAAUUUCAAUCUCUUCUUAAACUUAUAUCUGAAUCUAUUACUGGAAAACGAUUUCUUCUUGUCUUAGAUGAUGUGUGGGAUGGAGAUUGUAUAAAAUGGGAACCAUUCUACCUUUGUCUAAAGAAUGGUCUCCAUGGAAGUAAAAUUUUGGUUACCACACGUAAAAAAUCAGUUGCAUCUAUGAUGGGAUCUACUAAUACUGAUAUUGUCACUGUCAUGGAAUUGGCUGAAGAAGAAUGUUGGUCAUUGUUUAAGCGGUUAGCAUUUUUCGGUCCGUCUAUUAAUGAUUGUGAAAAUUUGGAACAAAUUGGGCGAAGAAUUGCAGGCAAGUUUAAAGGUUUGCCUCUUGCUGCAAAGACAAUAGGGAGUCUCAUGCGCUCUAAACAAAUUGAAGAAGAGUGGGAAAGGAUUUUAAAUAGUGAUUUAUGGAGAGUAGAAGAGAUGGAGAAAGGUGUUCUGUCCUCAUUGGUGUUGAGUUACAACGAUUUGCCGUCCAAAGUAAAAAUAUGUUUUUCCUAUUGUGCUGUCUUUCCAAAAAACUACAAUAUAAAAAAAGAUGAACUAAUUACAUUGUGGAUGGCUCAAGGUUAUCUUAGUGCAGAACAAAAUAAGGAGAUGGAGACUAUAGGUGAAGAGUAUUUUAGCAUCUUAGUUUCUCGCUCUUUCUUUCAAGAGUUUGAGAAAAGUUAUGAUAAUCGUAUUAUAGAGUGCAAGAUGCAUGAUAUGGUACAUGAUUUUGCCCGAUUUGUAAGUCAAAAUGAAUGUUUUUCGAUGGAAAUUAAUGGUAGUGAGGAACCAAACACCAUAAACUCUCUUGAUGAGAAGGUUCAUCAUUUAAUGUUGAUCAUUGGUAGGGAGGCUUCAUUUCGUGUCCCUAUUUGUAGAGUGAAAAGAAUUCGUAGCCUCUUAAUUGAUAAUAGUAGAACUUCUCGUUCGUAUUUUAAUGGUGAGAUCCUAGAAGAAUUAUUUAGGGAAUCGACAAGUUUAAGGGCAUUAGAUUUUUGGGGAUCAUAUGUCGUAAGCCCAUUUUCGACUCUAAAGAUUCCAAGAAACAUAGAAAAUCUAGUACAUUUAAGAUACCUUAACCUGUCUUGUCAGAACAUAAGGAAACUACCGGAGACAUUAUGUGAGUUAUAUAAUCUAGAAAAGUUAUAUAUUACUCGUUGUCUGUAUCUUGAAGAAUUACCUGAAGGGAUUGGGAAGUUAAUAAACAUGAAGCAUUUACUAAAUUAUCGUACAGAUUCUUUAAGGUACAUGCCAGUAGGGAUUGGGAGAUUAACGGGUCUUAGGACCUUGGAUGAGUUCCAUGUGAUUGGAGGAGGAGGUGUUGAUGGUAGGAAAGCAUGUUGGUUUGAAUCUCUUAAAAACUUGAAACACCUUCAAGUAUGUGGUAUACGCAGAUUGGGUGAUGUAUCAGAUGUGGGCGAGGCUAAGCGAUUAGAACUUGACAAAAAGAAAUACCUCUCUUGUUUGAGACUUUGGUUUGAUAAGAAGGAGGAAGGAGGAGAAAGGAGGAAGAACGAGGAGGAUCAACUUCUUCUUGAAGCCUUGCGACCACCCCUGGAUUUAAAGGAAUUAGAGAUACGGUACUACCGAGGCAACACUGCUUUCCCCAGCUGGAUGACGUCAUUAAUCAAUUUAAGGAGUUUAGAUCUCUCUUUGUGCGAAAAUUGCGAGCAGCUGCCUCCUUUGGGAAAAUUGCCGUCCCUUGAAAAACUCAGCCUAUUGCACAUGCGGAGUGUGAAAAGAGUGGGUGAUGAAUGUUUGGGGAUAGAAAGUGAUCAUCAUGGCUCAUCUUCAUCUUCAUUAGUUAUUAUUGCCUUCCCUAAAUUGAAAUCACUCACAAUUUCUUCCAUGUUGGAAUUGGAGGAGUGGGAUUAUGGGAUUACAAGAACGGGAAACACCGUCAUCAACAUCAUGCCACGUCUUUCUUCCUUGGAAAUUGUUGCCUGCCCCAACUUAAAGGCACUGCCCGACCACAUUCAUCAAACGACAACAUUGAAGGAAUUGCGCAUUGUGCAUUGUGGGCUUCUGGAAGAACGUUACCGCACGGGGGAAGGAGAAGACUGGCCUAAGAUAUCACAAAUUCCCAACAUAGAUAUUGAUUAAGAAGGAGAAGAGUGGCCUAAGAUAUCUCACAUUCCCAACCUCGCGAUUUGGCCUUGACAAGUAACUCCUUCUCUUACUCUGAUUUGCUUUGUUGUUCUUUUUAAUCUAAUCAAGAAGCAUAAAUAGCAUUUUGAAUUAAACUCUAUAUCAGAAAUCUGCAAUACAUAUUUUCUAAUAUUCUGAUUUUCAUAUCUUAUGAAUGUACGAUUCUAAUUUGCGAUAUUUAACGUUGCUGUAAAAUAUUAUUAAUGCAAUAUGAGUAAUUCUUUUGCAGGACAAGUGACCUAAGUUUAGUUUGGCUUUGGAGUUGAGUAAUAACCUUUCGAGGUCGCCACUAUAAAAAAGCGAAGCUCAAUUUGCCACAGAUUACAUGUAUUGCCAUCAUUGACAAUUUUCUGGAUAAGUGAUGAAGGGUGAGAAUGGUGCUAGAAUAUUGAAUAAAGCUGUCGUGACUGAACUUAGGUUGAUGUCAAAAGGGGUAAAUUAUUGGCAUGCCUAGCUAAUUUGACCACUUCCUGAUUCAUAAGCCUAUAUCAAUUUUGAUUUUGAGUUGAGUGAUUAAUUUUCAAGGUUUGCUUACUUAACCGGUGACCACUUUGUUGUAACUAAAUGUAUCAUAUGAUGCAGGCAGCAGGGCAGGAUAUGAAAUGAGUAGUUUAUUAGUGGAUGGAUUGCCAGAAGCAGAACCCAAAGAAAAUGAAAACAUUUCGAGGCAGCAGUUGGCAGUUGGCCGUGAAUGGAGCCCCUUGAAAAAAUUCCCAACCCAUUGCACUGCAAUUACGAUCGUAAGUAUGAUUGCACUGCAAUUUCGAAGCUUCUUCUCCUGCAUUUUUGUUAUUUGCUAUCAAGUGACAUUCGUAAGUAUGAUUGCAUUAAGCUGCUGCUGGGAAAUAUGAGGUUUUGAUGGCUGCCCAUGCUAUUGUCAGAAGCUGCGGUUCUUUUCAUCAGCCUGAACCUGGACCUGUCGCCAUGGAUAACUCAGGUUUUUUUUUUUUUAAUCAACUACGUCAUCUUUUCCACUGUUUUGAAACUCUUAAGAUUAAACUUUAGUAAAGUUGUUUUAGUUAUCCAUGUAAUCAGGCUGAGGAUACUUAGCUGCCUAUUUAGGCAAAUGUCAGAAUUUAGUUUGUUCGCUGGGAACUGGUGUGGUGACAGCGUCCUGGCAAAGGAUGAUGAGAUAGUUUUUUGAUUGAGUAAAUUUUGGGAGCUUGAGUGUAUUGGGAUUUGCAAUUACAAUCAUCCUCUGCCUCAGGUGAUUUCUUCUCCUGCCCUGUCGUUGUUUGUUCUCUAAUUCAAAAUUAUAAAAUAUUUCAAUCAAAUUUUAUGCCAGGAAUAUGCAAAAGUUUCUAAUAUUUUAUUUCCAUCUGUUUGCCUUGAUAACUUUGCGGCAUAUGUACUAGUUAAAGAACAAAUCGAAACAGAGCUCAGUUAAAAGUUUCUUCUGCCGUCAUAUUUGAAAAAUGAACCCAUUUCCAGGAAGCAAUGGGCAGCAAAUUCAUAUAAAGCGUAGACAAUGAUGAGCAAAAAGGUGAUUCACAAUUUCACUUUUUUUAAUGAAAUUAAUUGUUUGGUUGGAGCGGAUAUUGUUAGAAGGCCAUUGAGCUAACCUAUGUCACUACUUGCCUAGAUUACAGGGGGUCAAAACUCAAAAGAGGCAUUGAAUUUUAAAAGGCAUCCAAUAAUUCUUGUGGCCAUAUAUCAAUUCAUGUAAGUUUGAAUGUAAUUAUUGGUGAAGGGGUUUCACUUCCCGUCUCUAAAUAAAAAUACUGAUUCUUUAAGGUACAUGCCACUAGGGAUUGCGAGAUUAACGAGUCUUUGGACAUUGGAAGAGCUCCUUGUGAGUGGAGGAGGAGAUGUUGAUGGUAGCAAAGCAUGUGGGCAGUUGGCUUGAAUCUCUUAAAAACUUGGAACUCCUCCAAGCGUAAGUAUACGUGUACUGGGAAAUGUGUUAGAUGUGGAUGAGGCUAAGAGAUUAGAGCUUGACAAAAUGAAAUACCUCUUUCAUUGAGACUUAAAUUUGAUGGGGAAGAAGAAAAAGAAGAGGGAAGGAGGAAGAAUGAGGAUAAUCAACUUGUUCUUGAAGCCUUGCAACCACCUCUGAAUUUGAAGGAAUUAGAGAUUUGGUUAUACAGAGGCAACAUUGUUUCCCCCCGGAUGAUGCAAAAAUUGAAGGAAUUUACCAAUCUAAGGAGUUUGACACUCUUUAAAACUGCAAAAAUUGAGAGCAGUUGCCUCCUUUGGGAAAAUUGUAAUCCUUUGAAAAUCUCAGCAUAUUGUACAUGGAGAGUGUGAAAACAGUGGGUAAUGAAUUUCUGGGAAUAGAAAGUGAUCUUCAUGACUCAUCUUCAUCUUCAUCAGUUAUUAUUGCCUUCCCCAAAUUGAAAUCACUUUCUUUCAGUUGAGGGAUUGAUGGAAUUGGAGGAGUGGGAUUAUGGGAUUAAAAGAACAGGAAACACCUUCACCAACAUUAUGCCACGUCUUUGAACCUUGGAAAUUAGUGUGGGGUUAUGGGAUCGCACAACGACGUUGAAGGUAUUGCAGAUUGUGGCAUGUGGUACUCUAAGAAGACGUUACAGACAGGGGAGAGCAGAAGACUGGCCUAAAAUGCUAAUGUGGAGUACAAUCAUAAAAUGCUAAUGUGGCCACCCUGGUUCUUA
rnacentral:lncRNA from 1 species